rnacentral:lncRNA from 1 species
CAUUGAGUAUGAAAUAGAUUCUGUUUCUGUUGUAAGAGAAUGGUGUCCAAAUUUUUAUAAUUUUUUUUUUUAUUUAUAGGUCCUUUAAAUUUUAUAGAGCAUAUCUAGUUAAUUAGAUUAUAAUUUUGAGGCCUUCGUCAAUGAUUCGAGAAGAAAACGGGAUGUAUCCGAGGUUGGGAGAGUUUUCGACCUUAUCCUUCAUUUAUUUGGCAGAUGAAAACAGAUUCGUGGCGGGUUAAUUUUUCACUUAUCGCUUCAUUCGGGACUGGUCAGGAUGAAAGCAAAUUUUUGACAGAUCAGAAUAGAUUAAGGAAGGAAUAGAUUUCCCACCUUCAACUCCAUUUUUUUAACAAAUCAGAACAAAUUCAGAACAAAUUACCUUUUUCUUAUUUUUCACCUAGUUAUCGUCUCAUUCGGGGUUGACAGAGAUAGAAACUCCAUAAACCAUGAUUUAUUUGCAUCCCUUGGUAUGAGGGUGUAAUGUGGGCCGCACUGGACAGCCCACAUUUUUCGGGCCGAAAUGAGCUAGGGGUCUGACCGGCUCGGCUCGGAUUUAAUUUCGAACCGGACAAUGCCGGGCCCAAAUUGUCUACCCUCUAAUCCGGCACGGCCCUUCAGCCCGAAAGGCACGGGCUAUGCCGGGCAGGGCCGUGCUUCAGGCCUGCCUAGUAAAAUAUUUAUUUUUAUUUUUAUUUUUUAAAAAGUUUAGUAUGAAUUUAAAAAAUAUAAAUAAUCAAUAUUUUUAUUUAAAUUAAUAUUUUGAUUAAAACAUCAAAAAAAUUAUACAAAUAAUUAUACUAAAGUAAAUAUUUAUUUUUUAAAAUAAAUAAAUAAAUUUGUAUUAUUUAAAUUCACAUUUUAGUUAAGUUUAUUUCUAAAUGAAAUAAAACAGCGGGUAGCAUGCUACCUAUCUUUCUCUAAAAAAAAAAAGAAGAUAAUUUAGAUAAAAUUAUUCAAAUUUCAAAUUAAAAAAUUUAAAAAUAAAUAAAAAAUAAAAUGAUGCUAAAAAUUUAUGAAAUUUAGUUUCCAAAUACUUUAAUAGUAUAAAUUAAGUCUAACGGAGCCAAUCAUCGAUUUGGAAGACACAUCAUCAAAAACAACUUUGGUAGCACGAAGGCCUCUGUGCUAUCGGUAGUAUACCAGCCUAGCACUCUCUCUCUCUCUCUCUCUCUCUAUAUAUAUAUAUAUAGAGUCCGGCUUGGAUUCUAUCGAUAGUACGAAACAUUUGGUUCUAUCAAGUUUUUUGCCGUUAGAUUUAUCUCUUUUAUCAUUUUCAUCCUUUUGAUAAUAAUAUUCAACCAACCACCCACUCAACUCUAAGAGGCCCACAUCGUCCUAACCGCACAUCUUUUAAUCAAAGGAUAGAAAAUUUAAUAGUACCAAAUUAUUUUUGCUAUUAAUAGUAUUUCAGCCUAGUUCUAUAUAUAUAUAUAUAUGACCUAGGCUGGAAUACUAUUAAUAGCAGGAAGUAUUUGGUGCUAUUAGGUUUUCGAUCCUUGAAUUAAAAAAUGUACGGUUAGGAUGAUGUGGGCCCCCUAUGGUUGAGUGAGUUGUUGGUUUAAUAGUAUAAUCUAACAGGUGAAAAUAGUCAAACGAUUGAAUCUAACGGUGGAAAACUUGAUAGCAUCAAAUGCAUGGUGCUAUUGAUAGUAUCCCAGCGACUUAAAUUAUAUAUAUAUAUAAUAUUAUAUAUAAUAUAUAUAUUUAUAUAUUAUAUAUAUAUAUAUAUAUAUUAUAUAUAUAAUAUAUAUAUAUAUUAUAUAAUAUAUAUGACUUUCGAAUACGACGAUCGGCUCCGUUAGACUUGAUCUAGAGUAUUUGAAGUAUCUAGAAAGUAAAUUUGCGAUUUUCGAUAUCAUUUGCCUAGUUAUCAAAGUGGCUCAAAAUCAACCUGAAAAUAAAAAUAUUACAAAAUAUGAUGAUAUGACAUUAAAAUUUUAGAUCAAAGUUUAUUGAUCUUUUUUUAUGGUAUAAAAAUUUUCUAUCAAAAUAUUCAUGUGAUUUGGAUAUUUCUACACGUUAAACUUGCAACUGGCUCACAACGUCCAUUAAAAUUAUGAUUUGAGCCCCUUCGAUCACUAGCAAAUGAUAAUUUCGAAAAAUCACAAAAUUUAUUUUCAGGUACUUCAAAUACUCUAGAUCAACUCUACGGAGCGCGAUUUGUCGAUUCGAAAGUCCGAACAUCGAAAACAAUUUGGAAGCCACCGAGGGCUCCGUGCUUCCAGAAGCAUACCAGCCCACUAUAUAUAUAUAUAUAUAAUAUAAUAAGGAGAGAGACGAUGAGAGAGAGAGAGAGACGAGAGAGAGGCGUACGUCUUCUGUGCUUUCAAAAGUAUAAAGGUGAUAUGCCCCAACUUCCCAGCGGGGUCACCCAUCCUAGGACUACUCCCGUCCUAGCACGCUUAACUCUCUUAACCUCUUGGCCUAGUCACCACCCAAAAUCGCUUACCUGGUUAAGAGUCAUAGCCCUAUUAUAUCUUAUAUAAAGGACUAUUUGAGGUCUCACAAUCUCCUCCCCUUUAAGCCCCGACUUCCUCGUCAGGCUCAGAUUCACAAGUAUCAGGCGAUGUCAGACUUGUCUUGCUAGCCUUGUCAUUCUGACCCCGCUCAGCCGAAACUCAUCUCACACUUCUGACUGAUAAUUGACUCCGAUACCAACUGUGAUGCCCUAACUUUCCGGGGGUCACCUAUCCUAGGACUACUCCCGUCCUAGCACGCUUAAUUCUCUUAACCUCUUAGGCCUAUCCACCACCCAAAAUGCUUAAGCCGGACUAUCUGGGGUCUCACAAAAGGCCUCUGUGCUUAUAAGUUGUUUUCGAUGAUAGGACAUCCGAUUCAACGAUCGCCUCCGUUAAGUAUAAUCUACACUAUUGGAACUAUUUAGAAACCAAAAUUUUAUAAUUUUUCGACAUGAUUUACCAAGUGAAAUUUUAUAAUUUUUCGUCCUUGCCCUCGCCCUCACGCACUUCUCUGUCUGUGCCCAGACACAAGCCUCCGCCCUCCUCCGCCACCUCACCCUUGCCCUCGCCACCUUUUCGCCCAUACCCACCACGAUCUCCUCCCUACAACCCCCGAAAUAGAGGGACAACAAGGGUGCUGGAGGAGCAGGGGAGUAGGUAGAGGAAAUGGAGACGGAGCUGGGGUCGGGGGAGGCGCGGACAAGUACGCAGGAUGAGCAGGAUUGGGGAGGAGGCGAAGAAGAUGAGGGCAAUUUGGUCAUUUUGUUACACGUACCCCUAUUAAGACCUUUUAUUUUUUAAGAGGACAAAAGGUAAAUUUUUGAGUGACAAGGGGAAAAUUUUAAAUAUAAAAAUAUAUAAUACUGUUCUUUAACAGCUUAAGCUUGCAAAAGAAAAAGGAAAUCUCGAACCUAGACAUGAGAGGAGUAUUAAAUAUAAAAAUAUAUAAAUAUCAUUCUGUAAAAGCUUAAGCUUUUAAGAGUACUUGGUUGUUUCACAGAAAGUGAAAAAGUGGGAAAAAUUUUAUAAUCUAGUCAAAAAAAUUUAUAAGAUACAGCGUAGCAUAAUGUAAUUAAACCUUUUAAAUCCGAGAUUGGCAUCGUGCUGUGCUCAAAAUGCUUAAACCUAAUUAUUAUUACUAUUAUUAUUACUAGGUGUAGGCCUUAUAUAGAUGUGGGAGUAUUGGAGACUUCUGGUCUGAUACCAAUUGUAACAAUCUGAUCCGUUAGUAACAAUAACUCUUUGAGCCCAAACCACGGGCCCAAAAUGCUUAAACCUAGUUAUUCUUACUAGCGUGUAGGCCUCAUAUAUUCUAAUUAGAAUCAUUUUUUUCAACUGAUGUGGGAUUAUUGGGGCAUUACAUAAUUUAACUCAUGUUUGAGAGAAAUAAAACCAAAAAAAAAAAAAAAUGAUGGGUGACAAGUUAAUUAAUUUUGUACUUUAAAACCAUCAAUUUGAUCACCUUAGUUAUCUCUAUAUAACUAUUAUUAGUAACGGUUCAACAUGAGGAAGCUUAAAAGCCUUUGUUUUAAAAAAAGGGUAAAAAAAAAAAAUGAUGGGUGACAAGUUAAUUAAUUUUGUACUUUAAAACCAUCAAUUUGAUCACCUUAGUUAUCUGUAUAUAACUAUUAUUAGUAACGGUUCAACAUGAGGAAGCUUAAAAGCCUUUGUUUUAAAAAAAGGGUAAAUAACACAUUUGAUCCUCAACUAUCAGUUAUUUAACACUUCAGUCCUUAAACUUUUGUUUGUUCUGAAAUAUUGCAAUCAAGUACUACAACUCAAUUUAGUUGGCUAAAUAUUGAUACAAUUUUGAUGUGGAAGUGAUGUAAUAUUUUAAUUAUUGCCGUAUUAUCAAUCAUUAUACUUCUAUAUCAACAAUUUGCUUUAUAUUUAGCAAGUAAAAUUAGAUUGUGGGACUUAAUUGUAAAAAGCUCAAGUAAAAAAUAAGAGAUUAAAAUUCAAAGACCAAAUUGUCACGCGCUUUACAAUUUGGGGACCUAAGGUGUAAUUUUAUCGAAACUAAAACUAUCCCCAAUUUUAAUUUGUUGCAUGCAUCUUGCUGUAUCUAUCUCAUACUUUCAAUUCAAUACUGUAAUUAUAUAUAUAUAUAUAUAUAUAUAUAAUAUAUACUAAUAUAAUAUAUAGAAGCAUGGCUAUAUGCUAUUAGGAGACAACAGCCUUAUUCUCCUAACUUUCUAACCACCCAUCAAGUUUGAUGGUAUUAUAAAUAGAAGAGGGAAGAGAUAUUGGGAGAACCAAUAUCUCUUCCCUCUCUUAUUCUAACCACCCAUCAAAUUUAAUGGGGGUUAGAAAGUUAUGAGGCACAAAACUGCUGUGCUCGCUAAUAGCACAGUAGCCCUACUAUAUAUAAUAUAUAUAUAUUUAUAUAUAUAAUAUAUAGUUAUAUAUAUAUAUAUAUAUAUAUAUAUUAAUAUAUAUAUAUAUAUAGAUUCGUAUCUGCGAAUAUGACAAAUAUUGUUUGGUGGCUGAAUGGACAUUUUUGUUAGCUAAAUAAUUUUUUUGACAACAGAUUAUUGCAUUUCACUAACCGCAAGUGUAUGAGAACAGAAACUUCAAAAUCCCAUUUCGAUCAGCAUACAACAUAUUAUUGCAUAGCUUUACUGGUAUGUAUACAAACUUCUACAACUUCUAAUAUAUAUGAUGAUCUUAGUGUGUCUCAAUUGCCAGCAAAAAACUUGUAGUACAUCUUGUCAAUCAUGUAGAAGUAAAUAUUUCUCCAUGCAGAUUUGAAGAGCAACGCCCGUAACUCCAAAGCCCCACAAUAAAUCCCAACCCCGUAGCAAGAAAAAUUUCUAUGUUCUCCAAGCCACCAUUGUGUUGUUUCGUCUCAUCAGGAGUAUAUAUCGGUUUCAUUUCCGGAGCAAUUCUUCAAAAUAGGGGUGACCGCAGAGAUAGGGAUUGCCAGCAUAUAUAGUAGGAUCAACCAGUGUCUGCAUUUGAUCUCCCAGAUGGAAUCCUUCCUGAGAAGUUAUUGUACGAUAAAUUCAAGCUGGCUCAGGAAUGCCAAGGCCGUUAUACUUUGGGGGAUGGUUCCAUUUAAUUCGUUUAUAGAAAGAUCGAGAGACUCCAAAGUUGAGUUUCCUAUCUAUCAGGAAUCCUUCCCUUUAAGUGAUUUCUUGGUAAGUUCAAUUGUGCAGCGCUGAUAGAUCGCUAAUUGCUCAGGAAUCACACCACAAAGGUUGUUACCUGAGAGGUCCAUGCUCUUCUCAAGAUAGAGGUUCUUAGAAAAUUGAAGAUCCAACCCUUUUGUUGCAAUAUAUAACUUUAACUGGAAAAAUUUGAUUCAACAUGUAGCCUAAUAUAUGUCCAUCGAUUGUUUGUAUUACAUCAAAAAUAAAGUAAACCAAUGUAUAUUAGCCAUGUAUUUAGAUAACUUGGUUGAAGGCCAUUGCAUGGAAAUUACAAAGAUUGAGGUAUGUUUCCCUGAUAGAUUGUUCAAGAAAGAUCAAGAUUUGAAAGAUCUCAAGUUGUCCAGAGCUCUGCAGAUGUUGCCGCAAACAUAUUGACAUCAAUGCGAAAAUUGUAAAUUUGUACACUUCACUAGCCAUGUAGAAAUCUCACACCGAUAAAUUGGUUUUGCCCAGAUCAAGUGUACUAAUGGCAAUACUGUAAAGAAAGGAAGUUUUCCAUUUAUGGUGUUAUUGUUUUAAGUGUAAGAACUCAAGAUUACGGACAAAGCCCAAGAAUGCAGGAAUGUUGUCCUGAUAGCUUUUAUUGGAUAAGUUUAUAAUAUAUAGAUCCUUUGAUGCACCAUACCAGCAAUUUGCAGCUCACCAAAUAAUUUGUUGCUCGACAUGUCAAGUUCGAACAAAGAUUGCAUGUUGCAUAUAGAUGAUGGAUCCAUCACUAAUGUGAGUUGUUCGACGAGACGAACGGUGAACAGAUUUGCUUGAAGAAAGACCAUGGAAGUGAUCCAAAAACAUAUUGUUUGAGAAGAAUCAGGCCAAUCCAAGAAACCAGGCAAAGAUGGUAGAAUCCAUGUAAAUGGUUAGAACCUAAUUUAACAACCUCUAAAUGAUGUCAUAUUUCCAGAGAAGAUGGCAACAUGCCGCUAAUUUGGUUAUUAGAAAGGUCUAAGAUCGCAUAGAUAAGAUAUGUCCAAAGCCAAUAAGGAAUAGUGUCUGUGAUCCAUUAUCUGACAAAUGUAAGAGUUCAAUUUCUUGUUGCAAUCGGAGCCACCUUGGCAAAUCGUGGACGCAAUCGACAUGAGCUCAAAACUAAAUUCUUGCACUUGAAAGAGGCAGCCCAAUUAUCCUCGACUUCAACUCAAGAGAUGUAUCGUCACACCCCAUAGUGCCUUUAUCCUGUGAAGUUCAUAAGAUGAUGUUUCAAGCAUAUCCCGAGAGUUUCCCACCUCAUGCCGAGAUUGGAGUUAGGAAGCUCAAUUCACAACACAGGGCCGUGGAUCGGACCGCUCUGAUACCAAUUGUUACGUAUCUGACUCUAUCCCAAUCCCGUCAAUGAUGAUAAUUCCGCUGAGACGAAGGACGGCGUGGAGGAUGAUGUCUAAUCAAAUCGUAUCUCGAUGAUGACCGCCAAAUACUCGUAGCGAGAUCAAGAAUAAGAGGGAGAGGAUGGGAUUGAGGCGAAAAAGAGAGAUGAAGAGAGAGAUAGAAGAUGAAGAUGUUGAGGCUAGAAGAGAGGAAGGAAGAAGAUAAUGAAAUAGCAGAGACUUUAACAAUUUUCCAUAAAAAUCUAGUUAGGUUACAAUUUGCCUAUUUGUUCCCCUAUAUAAUGGACUAAAAUGGCGAUUAAUAAAACUAAACAUUGCUAAUUGAGAAUCGAAUUAUAAAUUGGGGCUUCUCUGGCUCCUCGUGGGUCGAAUUCGAUGAGAACGUGGCCUGUAAAGAAACCGAUCUGCCCAAGGAUCGCCUGUUGCCAGGUAAGUGGCCUCCGGUCCUUCUGCCUCCCAAUAUUCCACAUCGCUGGUCCUGGGCUCGCCCCUUUUAUCCGCUCCACCAUUCCUGGCUCCGACCCGAAGGUUCGCCCUGCUUCCGAGCUUCUACUCCAUCACAUCGCCCUUUGCUGGUACCACUCCCUAUGAACUCCUUGCUCCUUCUCGAUCACCAUGGUUGACGCUGUUCGUGCUCCAGGCUCCCACAAGGAAAAGCUAAGCUUCCAUUAUCUCUUCUCCUUAUUCCAUUCCCAAUUAACUCUGUUUCUACCUCUAACCAACUCCUCUCUACUUGGCAAGAUGCAACAGAAUUUUAAUUAGAUUUAAUUUUUUUUUGCAAUUGAACAUAAUUUUUUUGGCAAAUUGAACCAAAUCGAGCUGAGUAAACCCUUAGCCAUGACAAGGUUUUUUUUCUUUUUUUUGUUUUUUUUUUUUUUUGGUGAGGUGUGAAACCGAGAAAAUGUGGUAAAAAAGUUGCUGGACUUGGAGUCAUCCCACAAUAAGCAGGCCACUUUUUUAGUGCUUGAUCUUGACUUCCACUUUUAACAGCGUAAACAUCAAGUAUAAUUUAAUGCUCAACUUGGAAUCUUUUUGUGAACUGCUUAUGCAAUCAGUAUGAGUAAUGUUACAUGCAUUGGAUAAACUUCAAUACGGAACGAAUUAUGUAUGUUUGUACUCAGUGUAUCUGUACAUCCCAUGCAACUGCACCCGCACUUAUAAUUUGUGAUUAAUAUUCUAAAAUCAAAAUCUAAUAUAACCCAUCAAAACACAUGCGUUGAGUAUGAAAUAGAUUCUGUUCUGUUGUAAGAGAAUGGUGUCCAAAUUUUUAUAAUUUUUUUAUUUAUGGUGCUUUAAAGUUUAUAGAGUAUAUCUAGUUAAUUUGAUUUUAAUUUUGUGACCUUCCUCAGAGAAUUCGAAAGUAAACCGGGAUGUAUCCAAGGUUGGGAGAGUUUCCGACCUUAUCCUCCAUUUAUUUGGCGGAUCGAAAUAGAUUCGGGCGGUUAUUUUUUACUUAUCACUUUCAUUCGCGUCUGGUCAGGAUGGAAGCAGAUUUUGACAGAUCAGGAUAAAUUAAGGAACAGGAAUAGAUUCCCACCUUUCACUGUUCCAUUUUUAACAAUCAUUCAGGACGAAUUACCUUUUUCUUAUUUUUCACCUAGUAUUCAUCUCAUUGCGGGCUGACAAAUUAGAAACUGGAUUUAUUUGGCGGAUAGAAACUCUAUAUAGUUUGGCGUUUACAAGUACAAGGAGCAAAAAAAAAAAAGGAAAAAAAAUUUGUAGGUAACUACCGUAUACCCACCUGCCCACCCGCGGCGGUACAGGUAAACAUGUUGGCCAUCCAAAAAAUUACAAGUAAAUUUACCCAUGCCCAUUAUACCCGCAGGUGAAAAAGUAUGAUAAAAAAAUAUAAUUUAUUUAUUUUCGUAUGUAUAUUGCGUUACAUAUAUCACAUGAAUCGGUUACAAUAUAUUUUCUGGCGGUCCGGAAAAUGCAGAAGCAUAUCCCUAUAUAUUUUUACCCGCCCAACUCUAUUUAUCUAAUAGCGUAAGAUGGCCCACAAAAUCGUAAGGAACACAGACUUUAUCAAUAUAUAUGUAAAAGAUCUAGCUUCUUUUGACCCCACACUGUGGCAUCCUUGCUUGGAGUGGUAAAAAAAAAAAAAAAAAAGGGCAUUAUGGUCUUUUUGGGUUGGUGGAUAAGUAGGGUGGCAAUCUAGGCUCGCUGUUCGUGAGCCAGCUCGUGUUCGGCCUCGAAAUGAGCUCGAGAUCGUCUCGCUCGUUUAUGUAAACGAGCCGAACACGAGCUGGAUUUUUCAGCUCGUUUAAUAAACGAGCCGAAGCACGAAGCUGGGGUCAGCUCGCUCCGUGUUCGGCUCGAUAACAGCUCGAAUACAUCUAUUUAUAUUUAUAUAUUUAUAUUUUAUAUAUAAAUAAAUAAUUAUAUAUAAUAUAUUUUUUUUAAUUAUUUAAUUUUAAAAAAAAUAAAAAUAUAAAUGCGAAAUUAAAUAUAAAAGACUUAUUUAUAUGUAAGUUUUAACUAUUAAAUCAAAGUCUAAUGACAUUUUAUAAUUUAUUUUUUAUAUAAUUUAAUCUAAUCCUUUUAAAUUAUUGUUCGUUUGGUCAACUCGUAGGGCCAGCUCGUGUGCGGCUCGUUUAUUAACGAGCGAACACGACUGAAUUUUUCGCUCAAUACUUUAACGAGCCAGCUCGUGUUCGACUCGUUUAAUAAACGAGCCGAACACGAGCCGACCCCCAGCUGCUCGUGUUCGGCUCAUUUACACCCUAUGGAUAAGCAGGCCAACUCCCUCUUGAUAUUUAUCCACUCUAACCUGUUGCGAAGGGAUAAUUAUCAUUUUUCUUUUACUCUCAGACUUUGAUCGUGGCUUGGAGAGAUUAUGGCUCAUUCGCGGUGAUUUUCGACAGUCGCCUGGGGAGCCGUCGAGGCAUACGUGCGUCGCCGUAGUUUAGCGAGGAGGCCGGGCGAGGGAGUGUUUUCGUCGUUCUCGACGCCUGUGCCGGAAUUGGAGUCGCUGCGAGGAUCUUGUCGUCGACUGUUAUAUAUUCAGCUCGUCACGCGACGUAGAGCAUGGAUUUCGACGAGAUUGGUUCGCUUGGAACCGGGACUUCGCAGACGAAGAUUCUGAGCCCAAGAUCACGCAAUUUUGGAGGCAGGUUCCAGCGUCGAGUCUUCGUAUUCUGGCCCGUUCUCUGCGUAAGCGUCGAAUUCAGCGAACCACCUGGGCCAUUUGAUUCCGUGCUUCGAGCGAAGCUACACAACUCAAACCUUGUUUGCUGAAUUUGAAUAAGGUUAGCUUGGUCGGAGUUUAACACUUUCUUCGCUGCCAGGAGUUGCUUGAGAGGUGGUUACAUCGUUUUUACUCUAAGUUCAUAUUCUCCGGCAUGUAUAAUUUCGACCUUUGGAUACUCUUAUUCUAGCUCGAAUUCAUCGAAUUAUAUUGUAGAUUGCAAAUCUGAAUUGGAGCAUGUGUAAUAAUUAAGUUAGGUUAUACAUGUUGGACCUUGAAAAUUGAAUGGGAAAACCUGCGAUUUGGACCUGUCACUUGUUUAAACUGCCUGAUUUAGCUCUAAGGAGCCGUUAUUAAAAUUGUACUAUCGCAGUAUCUUCGAAUGAGUACUCCAGCGUAGUUUAGAUUACAUUUACGCUCGUGCUGGUGCGCCGAGUGGAUUUUACCAGGAUCGGUCAAAUUGUUCCGGACUGGUGGGUGCCGUCAGAGUUGACGGUGGACCCGUAUCGCCUUUUUGGGAGUCAGAUUGUGCCGAGGGCACAUUACCUGUUGGUGGCUAGAUCAGUUUGAGUUUGGUUACUUGAACUUGGCUUUCAAGAGCCUGUUUGAGCUCGAGAGAUACGCUGUAUACUCGUUGGGUAGCGCCCACGAGUGCCACUCCACCGGAGUCAGGCUUUGUGCUUCGCGUUGGUGUCGCUCAUUGCCAGUUGGACUUGCUCUCCCACAGAGCAGUUAUGGGUGGGGGUAGCUGGAUAGUCGGGCAACGGGCAGAGACGGUGGUAUUCACAGCCCAAGGGACGGGUAUGUUUACAGUCUGAUUGGAUUGGUCAGAUUUGACAUUUCCUACAGUUGUUAGUGUAGAGCAUGAUAGUGUAGUGAUUGAUAGCAGUAGAGUGUACUUCCUGCUUUUCCUACUAUUUUGGCUCCCUUCUGUAGACUUAGUGGGUAGACCGAUGUUGUUUGGGCGGCACCGCCACUGAGGACUACCUGUUUUUUAACAACAGUAGUUCUCACGCCCAGUUGUUACUCCCUGUUUGCAAAGCCACAGGUGCCGGCUGCUGCAGUCUUCCGCCGACGCAAGGAUCGAGGUAAGGGCGUUGCGAGUCUAGAGCCUAAUACCCGACAGUCAAGAGCUAGAGGCUUCCACUACUGGCAGGUGUUGUUGUUUUGGAGAUUUACGUAUAUAGUUGUUUAACUGCCAGUGCGAGUAACCUUGUAUUUUGGAUUCUAGCUAUGUAUAUGAAACUCAGUUAUUUAGUUUUUUUGAGCAGCUCUAUGCUACUGUUUAUAGUAUCGUAUUUACAGUACUUUGACGCUUGCGUAUACAAGGAAAAUUUCUUUGUAUACGGCGAUUUGUCGGCCGUGCCGCAGGAAUGAGAUAUCCGGGGCGGUGAACACCAGCCGUGGCUCUUUAUUCCUAUUUUCACACCAUAUUUUAAUUUAAUGAAUGACAUCUAUUAAACAAAGCCAAAAAUCUGACCCUACUCGAGAGCAGCGUGCUCAGUAACUUUCUUUCGACCUAAUUUUUUUUUAAGGAAUAAUUAUCUAUCAUACUCUCCAAAACUUCACCCUUACUAUAUUCUUCGUUAUUCAAAAAAUAUUCGAGAGAAGGCUAGUUGUCCACCCUUAAUUAUCUAGGUUAAACGUAAGUUUAAAUUGUCUAUCAUAUUAUAAAAAAAUCAAAAUAUCUCUUUUGCCUUAACGUAAGGCGAAUAAGAAAAGUUGUAAUAUUGAAGGCACUAUUUUCAAAGGCCCAAAAUCAACAUUACUUCUUUUGCCCUCUAAACUUAAGGACAAAUAAUAAAAGUUGGUUACAGGUAUAAAGGGUAUAUUAGAAAGGCAAAUAGUACAUUUACAAGAUAUGAUUAUUAAAUUACUACACUAACAAAAUUUAACUCUAGGGGUAAUAUUUGAAAUAGACUUGAACUCGAAAAGCAUAUUAGCCUUCUAAGAGGAAGUAAAUCAAAAGCGAAAUUUUUUCAGGAGUAUUACUAAGCAAUUGCCCUUUUUUUUAAUUGGAUUUGCAAAGUAUACGGGUAUAUGCGUUAUUUUUAUUUACUUUUCUUUAAUUGAGGGGGGGGGUGAAUUUAUAUUUUUAUUUUGAAUUAGUAUUUUUUUUGAGUUGUUGUAAUAUCCAUAAUAAUUAUGUACAUUAAAUAUUUUUAGUUGUUGUACUUGAUUAUUAUUGUCGUAAAAAUAAAUUCCAUUUUUUUUUUUCUAUUUUGAAACAUAUAGUUAAUUUCAUCACUAUUUGUAAGUCCACUAAUUUAUAUUAGUCAUCAAUUUUUAUCUCAGUGAAUAUAAGACAAAUUUAAAAGAAAAGUGUCUUUUAGUUUUUACAAUAAAAAGUCAUCUUGAAAGCCAAAAGAGAGAGUGAAAAUAUAUAAGGUUUUUACUACAACAAUACAAAUCAUCUUUAUGAGAGAAGUAAAUGAAUAUAACGAAUUCUCUUCUGGCUAAAUCUGGCAAAAUACGAAAAGAAAUUAUACUAUUCAAACAUUCAGAUCUACCACUAAAAUAUUCAAUAUUUUCUCCUACAUCGUAUUGAUCUUACUAUGAAACAAUUUCUAAAUUCACUACUAUAAUAGCCAACCAGAAAGAGAAUAAAUAGAAUAUUUUAUCUAUAAUUUUUUUUAAAAAGAAUAAUAUCUAAUAACCGUUUUAAAAUUUUAAAAGUAUCCUUAUUUAUUUUCUGUAGGACUAAAAUAGCUUGUUGUUUUUAAAAUAUCAACUAGAUUGAGGUUGGGUUUUUGAAGAUAAUGAUAAUCUCAUAAUAAUUUAAAAAUUUGAAAGUAAUAGGGUAAAUUGUUAUCAUAUAUAUUACAAUACCAUAUAUAUAUUAUAUAUGUCAUAUAAUAUAUAUAUAUAUAUAUAUAUAUAUUAAAAUAUAAUAUAUAUAUAAUAUAUUAUAUAUAGAACUACUACUAUGCUAUUGAAUCACCAAAUCAUUGGUGCUACCAGUUUUUGGCAUUGGAUUAAAGAGAUGUGUGAGUUAGGAUGAUGUGGCCCACUAGGUUGAGUGAGGUGGUGGUUGAAUAGUAAUGAUUCUAAGGAUGAAAAUGAUCAAAAGUAGAUCUAAACGGUGGAAAACUUGGUAAACACCUAAGUGCUUCAUGCAUUAAUAGCAUACGAGCCGGACUCUCAUAUAUAAUAUAUAUAUAUUAUAUAUAUAUAUAUUGAUACGACAUUACGGGCAUUUAAAACUCUAGAAAUCAAUUUUUAUAAUUUUUCGACAUCAUUUACCUUACGAUUCAAGAGUGUCACAAAUUUGCCAUUAUUCACUGCCGAUAUGCGAAUACUUGCUAGUUUUAACAGUGGUAAAAGAAUAGGCAAUUUUGUUGAAUUUUAAUAGAAAUUCUAUUCACGUACCUAGAUAAAGAUACAAUAACUCCGAAUCUUGAAUUGAAGAUUCGAUCAUCCUUUUUUAGAACGGUGUUGCGAUUGACCAUAUCAUUUUGUGCCUCACUUGCCGAACUUUAUAUGAUUUUGAAAAUUUACAAAUUUUUCUAAAAGUUAUCAAUAUACUCUAGAUUAUAUUUAAUAUGUGGAUCUCGAUUCGGAAGGCUCCAUCAUUCAAAAUAACUUAUGAGUGAGUGAGGGCUCAAUACUCCUAAUAAUAUAAAAGGUGCCUACAGCAUUAUAUCAUAUAUUAUCUACUAUCCAUUAAUUAGGAUAAGGAGCACUUGUUCUUAAUAAUUGUUCUUGAUGAUCGAAUUCGAAUCGAGAUUGGAGCCAUUUGAAGUUGAAAUCUAGACAUUUGAAUAAUCUAAAAAUAAAUCUUCAUAAAUUUUCGAUAAUAGUGUACAGGUGAUCAGAUUGUCGUGAAUAUCCGACAAUUUUUGACGGCCUAAUAUGAGACAGUUUGCUUGCUUUAAAACGGUGUAAGAGCAAUUCCAACCUUCUUGAAAUUUGUUAAUCGAAACUUCUCUUAUACUAUUUAGAUAAUGUUUGAUAAACUCUAAUUACGAUAGAAACGUCUAUGACUGCCUAUUUUAAGAAGUUAUUUCAUUUUGACCGUUAUCAUUUUUUUCAACUCCUUAAGAGACUUGAUAAUUGAUUUUUAAAUAUUACAAAAUUUGUUUCUAAGGCAGUUCUAAAUUGUGUAGAUCAACCUUGCAUGGUGCCGAUUAUCAAUUUGAAAGUUCCGAUGCAUAUCAAACUGACUUGAUAGGACAAGAUGUCUCAAAUCCUAUAUUGAAUAGGAUAGUAAGCCGGACCCUAUAUAUAUAAUAUAUAUAUAUUAUAAAAUAGAAUGAGCCGCUAUGCUUUAAAAAGUACAAAGUCAUAUGUGUUGUGUGCGGUUAGAUAAUAUGCGAUCCCCUAGUUUAGUGGUUAGUUGUUGAAUUGUAUAAUCUAAGCAGGUGAAAAGUGAUCAAAGGCGUAUGAUAAUAACGGUAAAAAAUUCACGAAGCACCGAGAAACGAGCAAGUGGAUUGGUGCCUUCUUAACAAGCCCAUAGCCGAUAUUAUAUAAUAUAUAUAUAGUAUAUAUAUAUUAUAUAUAUAUUAUAUAUAUAGACAUUAGUACACACACACAACACACACACUAACAUACUACUUGCUAAACAGAAAGUUUUUUUUUAUUUUUUCCAAUGUUGCCACCGCCCUACCAAUAUGGAAGCUUUGGUUUGCUAGCAUAACUUUAAAACAGUUAAGAUAUAGUUUCUUCUUUUUUAAAAAUAAUUAGUAUUAUCCUUAACAAUAACAUAAUUUGACAGUUUUUUAGACAUACGUGGCACAGUUUCUUGUGCUUCCACAUCUUGCACCCAACAAGGAAGGAUCCAAAUGGUCUUGCUGCCUUCACAAUUGUUUGACCAGGCUCACUCCUUGGCAACCUUCCAAGGUUGAAACAGACCUCCUUCCGGCAAGAUGCUACUUUGCUCCUUUUCAAGUAUUUUACCAUCCUUCCAAGAGAUUUUGUCUCAUUCCGUAAUGUCUUAACCAAGUUACAAAAGAUAUUGAGGUUUCCCAGACAGCUUUUAGCCUCUUUCUCAAAGUUACAAGGACCUUCUCCAAAAUGUGAGGUCCAAAAAAAAAAAAAAACAAAACAAAAAAAUCUUAUUACCACGCCUGGAACUCCCUAUCUCGAUCUCUAUGCUCUCUCCCGCACCUCUCUUGCUCAUCAUCUCUCUUCUCUCUAAGGUGCCCGCCCUACCAAUUUCUUCUCUCUCCCGUCCUCCUCCAAAAACCCUCGUCCCAUUCUCCCUCUCUUUCUACUCCCAGCUGGCCCCCCCCCCGACUCCUCCUCUCCCUCCCCCUACUCUCUCUUACUUCUCUCGUCUCUCUCUCUUAUCCGUCCUUCUUCUAUUCUUCUCUCUCUCGAUCGAAACCUUUUCAUGCGUUCAGCCCGGCCUUCNNNNNNNNNNNNNNNNNNNNNNNNNAGGAUUGGUAUCGGUCCUCGUCCGACUGACCAUCGCUCUGAGGAUGAAAAAGCAUAAUGAAACACGACCGUGUUCAAGAGCAUUGCAAGGUUCUUCAAGACUGCAAAGUAGACGAGGUUCGAUGCCGAACAGCAAUUUGAUACGCGGAACACAAUGUAGUCGGAUCCACCGUCAUCCCAAAUAAACUCGGUGCAAGUUUAUCACGGUCUGUGUAUCCAAUUGUGUGUGUGGGAUGCGCAUGAAUUGCCGGUGAUUCGGGAUGCUGAUCCCAGGACGCACGCGCAUAUUGCAGUCGGACCGGCCUGAGAACGGAGGUAAACCCCAGCUACCAGUGCCAUAAUUCACGUCCUCGCCAUUUCACACGGGGAUUGGUAAACUUUUGUAGCUCCGCAGGAGUCCGAGUGUUCGCCUCCACGCUUGUUGGUCACAGCAAAGCAUUGGCCACACAAGGCGCACCCCAAUAUCCUUCUUCAUGCUCGGGCCACCACAUAAUGUUUCUCAAAUCCUUAUAUCAUCGUAGUGCCACCCGAUGUAUGCUAAUAGGAUUGGUGGUGCUUACUGCAUGAAUCAUCGCUCGCGCAUCCUCAUGCACUAGUGAACACAUAAUGCCUCAGAAAGCCCGGAUUGGCCAUCGCGGAGCGCAACUUGAAGAUGCAUUCGGCGAUGUCCUACCACUCAACGAUUACCGUGCACUGGCUUUUGAGGAUAUGAAUUGUAACUGUGAUCUAACUCUCUCCAACAAGGUCGGGUGCGCACCACCUAACUUGCAAUAUCAACAAUUGGAACGUCUGAGCUACCACUUCCCAAUUGAAAGCCACAAUUCUCGAAGCAAUGGCGGUUGUUAUAAUCCAUAUUCAGGUUUUUGCGGCAAUAUUUUCCAGCCGAUCACAUUUUUUCACUAUUACUCAACUGUCAAUUCGUCGGCACACCACAUAGCCUGACUGUACCAAGAUCAAUAGGUAGAUAAUUUUGAGAUACGAAUGAGAGUCAUCAUAAACUUUCACAAGCACAUAUUUCAAGAAGCGAAACACACAUUCUUCACCGGGCUUCAACUCUUUUUUAACAAAUCCGUAACAUAAUCUUCACACAAAUUUAAAUUUCUUUUUUGCUGUUAUAAAUCAGAUUUACCACUCCUAUGUUGGAUCUGCGUUCAUCAUUCCGAGGUUGACCAGAGACCUUCGCAAACUGCUGAAAUCAUAAACAUGAUUUACUUUGCAUCCCGUGGUCAAUGAUAGGAGUGUAAUGUGGCCCACUGUGAAAGCCCCCAUUUUCGGCAAAUGGAGUGUCUCCACAACUGCGUGCGAAGACCACCGGCAGCGACCCAACCUCGAGAUCGCAUGGGUUGGAUAAUUUUAUCAUAAGGCCUUCAAUCUGUCUGGAAUCAGAGUGACAAUAACUUAAACUUGCGGGUCCGACCUCGGGGUUCACGUUCGCACACGGAUACUUAAUUCGCGAGAACAAUGCGAGCAGAGUGACAGUGCGGAACCCAAAUUGCGCCUUAUACCUCUCCUUAGAUACCAGUCCGUCAACGGCCGACAUAUCUCCAUCACCCGAGGAGAGGCACGGCGGUGAAGGCUAUAACCGGGACCAGGCCGUGGAUUUCAGGCCCCUUGCCAUAGAAAUUUUAUUUUAAUUUUUUAUUUUUAAAGUUUAGUAUAAUCUUUAGUCAAUCAUAAUAUAUUAUAAUAUCCACUUCAACCAGACUAUUUUAUUUAGAGAAUUAACACACUUAAUCUCGACUUAAAACAUGCAAAAAAAAUUAACAAAUAUAUUCUAUAAGUAAAUAUUAUUCUAUUUUAAAGUAAAAAAUAAAUUUUAUUAUUUAAAUUCAGCAUUUGUAGUUAAGUUUAUUUCUAAAUGAAACUAAAACAGCGGCGAAAAGCUACACUCGCUAUUUUGAGUAAGUAACGGUUAUCUUGGCUCAUAUAUAAAUAUAUAAGACAAGAAAAUACUUAAUUCCAUCAGAGACCGAUCUAAAUAAUAAUGUAUUCCGCAAGGCAUUAUAUAUACAAAUAAAAAACUCUCUUAAAAAUCUAAAUAUGAUAAAAACCAAAUGAUUUGCUACAACGCGGUAACUGUGAUAUGAAAUUUAGGUGUGCCCAAUUAUAUCUUUUAUAUCAGUAUAAAAUAGUCCUAUCACCACCUUAGCCACCGACGAUGCAAAUCCGACAAAACUUCGAUUUUUGAUAGACACAUCAUCAAAACAACCUUUGGUAGCACAAGCCUCUGUGCUAUCGGUAGUAUACGCCCAGCCUACACUCUCUCUCCGUCUCGUCUUCCCGUCACCGAAUCACAUGCUCAAGGAAUGCAACUUCCGAAGCCAACAUCCCCCCCCCCUGCAUUUCUUUCACACUCUCUUCGUACUAAAUAAAUAUUCAUCCUUACCUAAUAAGUUAAGUUGUACACAGAGUCCUUCCUCAGGUGCCUUGGAUUCUAUCGAUAAGUACGAACAUUUGGUCUCGUAAUCACAUACUCACUUUUCUAUCAUUUUGGCCGUUAGAUUUAUCUCUUUUACCGAGAGUAGAUUUCACUCAAAUUAUUCAUUCGCUUUGACUAUCACUAUUUCAAGACUACCACACAGAAAACGAUCCAAGUAAGACUUGAAGACACGUUCAUUAAGUCCUAACAGCCGCCGGGCAUUCGUGAGCCUACAAUGCAUAACCGUGAAUUAUAGUGCCACCAACUCCCACCCCAUACUCUAAGGCCCGUCACAUCGGAUACCUAUCUUAAUAUCUACAUCCUACCGACUCGCUUAAACCUCAUCUCAACUCCUGUUUUAAAUAUACAAAGACCAGAAAUUUAAUAGUACCAAAUACCUUGUUAGCUAUGUGGAAGUAGUCAUUUUCUUAUCGCACUAAUUCUAUAUAUAACUCAUAUGUAUUAUGACCUCGCAAGGCAGGAAACUAUUCAAAUAGGCAGGAAGUAUUUGGUGCUAUUAGGUUCUUUCGGAUCAUGAUCUAAAGAAAUGUACGGUUACGAGAGAUGAUGUGGAAGCCCCACUAUGUCGUGUCAUAAAUGAAUCGGAAGGCAACGGGUAUUGUGCUUUUUAUAUAGUGACUAUUAGCUAACCAGGAUGAAACAUUAGUCAAACGGAGUAUAUAUUGAAUCAACCGCGAGUCGGACAAAGCAUGAUAGAGAGACAUGAAUCUCCCUAUGCUCUGUCUUCUUUACAAACACACCGAUUGAUAGUACGGGGCUCCCACGUGAUCCAAAAUCCCGGAACUAUAUAAUACAAAUACACAGUUAUUAUGUAGAAAGGUCUUGCUAACUUAGGACCUUUAAUUUACAUUAUCUAAACUAUCACGUUACUGGGGGUAUAUAUAUAUAUAUAUAUUAAUGCGUAAUAAGUAACUUAGAAAUCGAUAUACUCUGAUCACUAGUCUACCUAGUAGGAAUUAAAUUCUAUCAGCUAAAAAUUCUAGAUUCAUCCCUUGAUCCCGGUGGCUAAAUACCCUAGUAGUAAUUACGCGGAGCGCUAAAUGAAUCCAAGCGCGACGAUCACACUCUAUAGAACUAUCUACCGAGAGUUGAAAGUAAUCUAAUACACUACUUUUGACGAGAUUCUUCUUGAGUAUACGAUUUCCUUAGAUGGACUUCAAGCGACGCCUAAAAUCAACAAGCUGAAAAGAAAAAUAUUAAAUAUGAUGAUAAUGACAUUAAAAUUUUCAGCGACUCAAAUACGUUAUGACCUUUUGUUUAAUAUGUGCUAAAUACUUCUUGCUCUUGACAAAAAUUGUCGCGUAACAAAUCAAAAUUUCAUGUGAUUUUGGUGAAUUUACUUAGUCAUAGAUCUAGUCAAAGACAGCGAGCCUUUGUAACAAUUUCGCAAACUAAGGCACAAACCCACGCUUUCCAUCUGACCAGUAAAAUUAUUGAUUUUGAAGCGCCCUUUCACCAAAAAAGUGAUCACCUUUGCUUUACAAUCUAUGUGCAUGAUACUUACAGCCAAUCGAUUCCAAGGUACUGAUGUCGAAAGCGCCUUCAUCGAUCACUAGGCAACAGGUGAUGAAAUACAAAGCAAAGUCAACUGGCAUGAUCCCAAAUCGCGAAAAUCACAAAAUAUGAUCUAUCACUCUUCUACAGUACUCAAAUACAUUCAUCCUUGACUCUAAAUGUGUCUCAGGUGCAUCCACCCCACAAAAGUCCGCACACACUAUGGAGUCAAUAUCAAUAGCUGCAAGUUGCAAGUGUAUUCGAUCGAGAGAAAUUGCUAAUAAGUCCGAAAAAUCAAUUGAAUAUCCAAUUUGGACAACGUUGUCAAACUCAACUCGCGCGCUAUUCCAUGAAGACUAAUAUACAUGAACCAACAAUUAAUACCUAUGCUCAACUAACAUUAUAUAUCGGUCUAAUCGACAUAGGACUCCAUACCGAGCUAUGAGCAGGCAAGAGAAGAGAAGUACGUGAGCACCGAAGAUGAUGAGCGCCGAGAGAGCCUAUCUCUGUGCUUUCAAAGAGAUAUGAAAUGCCUCGCUGACGCGGCCACCAUCGGGUUGCUCCAGUAGACAUGCGGGGGCAUGCGCGCUGUGACUGUCGCGGAGCAGCGGAGGCCGAAGCAGAAGUCGGAGCCGUGACUCACGCAUUGGUGUGAUGCCCAAACUCCAAGGGUGCAGCGCGAGUGUCACCCACAUCCUAGGACGUACACUCCCUCCCUAGUGUUGCGCACGCUUAACACACUCUCUGUGAGAACCAUACUUCCUGUGCUAGACCACGCCGCGACCCAAAACUGACACUUAGAUCAGUGCGCGAGUUAAGAGUCAUAGCCCUAUAUAUCUAUAUAGGACUACUUUGAUGUCUCACAAGUAUCUCUCAUCUUCUCUUACAACGCAAACGUACGCAGAUUUGUAUCGCGCGUCUCAAGGACUCAGUAUCUUCAUCACACUAUCAGGCGUUGUUCAACUCUUGUCUUGGCUACCUUGUCAUUCUGACCGGCUUACCGCGGAUACUCGGGGGCUUGUGUACCUUCUGCAUGAUCCAGCGGCCAGACAACUAGCCGAACGCGCCGCUUUACUAUAUCACAUCUGCUAUCACACUUAUUGACUUGAUAAUUGACUAUACCGAUACCUCCCUUAUCAUAACUGUGAUCCCGACUUAGACGCCCGCGCGGUGACCCUAUCCUAGGACUGACUACUCCGUCUACCUUUAGCGAGUCUCACUUGCGCAUAUUCCUUAACCUCCUUACCUAUCCAAACCAACUCUAUCAAACACCUCAGUAAAGGCUUCAACCUUAAGGUGCUCGCCGCAUAGAUCUCGCGGGGAAAGUCCACGCUCAAGCAAUCGCCUUGUCUUCGUCACUACAAAAUGCUUAAGCCGGACUAUUGGGGUCUCACAAGAGCCUCUGUUGCUAUAAUUGUUUUCGGAUGAUAGGACAUCCGGAUUCAAUCGACUUCGCCUCCGUUAAGGUAUAACUAAAUCUCGAGACUAGUAUCACACCAAAGUAAGUGUAACAGUCAAUAAUAUCAGCAACAGAGGAAUGUAAUCACCCCCAGUCGAACAUAUAAUUUUCCGUCCUGUGAACAGUGCGAUGCCCUUGCUUAACGUCGGAUCCUCGAACUUCGAGCCUUCCCUCUGCCUGCUAUCCUUUCUUCCACAUACUAUCCUAUACGCCUCCGCCCGUCGAAGUGAACACCAUAUAUCAUAGCAAGUCCUCUGGCAAUCUCCCUCUCCCACAUUCAUCGGGGGUAAUGUAGGGGAGGAUCGACGAGUCGCCUUCCACCAAACACUAUAGCGGACUUCUCGAGGACCGCCAAUGCACAAGCUAUCACUCGCAUUCCUUUAUGCCUUGCUCAGGUAUAGAGCGAUCCCAGUCCCAAACAACUUUCUCUCGGCACUGCCGUCAUCAUACCCCACCACGAUACCUCGCUAAUCCCUAUCAUACCGCACCCCGGAUAAACAGCAAGGACCAAAUCAACGGCCUGGAGGACACGGAGUAGGUAAGCACCGUGAAAUAGGCGGAGAAGAAACUUCCGUUAUGAAUGCGGGGAGGACAGACUCGAGGCGGUGCUCGUGCCCGCUACGGGCCGGCGGACAAGCAAUACACGCCGCGAGAGAUGAGCAGGAUGGGGUAGAGGCGAUACAGAUGAGGCAAUUAUGUUGGUCAUUUUGAAAAUUACACGUAUAGCGUAAGAAGUUUACCUAUUAAGUCACCUUUAUUUUUUGAAAGGCGAAACAACAAGUAAAUUUUUGAGGACAAGGAAAACUCUUUAAUAUACCACAGAGAGGAGAUACUGUUCUUUAACAGCUUCAAACUAAGCAAAAGAAAAAAGAAAAUCACCAACCCAUAGACAUGGAGAGGUGAGCUAUUAAAUAUAAAAUCAUAUAAUAAUACCUGCAUUCUCGGUAAAGCUUAAGCUUUUUAAGAGUACUGGUUGUUUCAACCAGAAAAGUGAAAAAGUGGGAAAAAAUUUUAUAAUACAGUCAAAAAAAUUAUAAAGCAACAGCGUAGCAUAAAGUAAUUACCUUUAAUCCGAGAUGGCAAUCGUGCUGGCUCAAUAAGCUUAAACCUAAUUAUAUUACCUAUAUUAUUAUAGUGUAGGCCUAUAUAUGAUGGGAGUAUUGGAGACUUCUGGCUGUCAGUUAGUACGAUACCUAAUUGUACAAAUCUGAUCCGUUAUACUAAUACACUCUUUGAGAACCCCAAACGACGGACAAAAAUGCUUAAACCUAUGAUUUGUUCUUAUGAGGCUGUUGUAGGCCCUCAUAUAUUCUAAUAUAGAAUCAUUUUUCACUGAUUGGGAUAUUGGGGCAUUUACUAAUUAUAACUACAUGUUUGGAGAGAAACUAAAACGGAGAGAGAAUAAAAAAAAUGAUUGGUGGUUGAGCGAAGUAAGAUUAAUUAAUUUUGUAAGCUAUUACCAACAAAACCAUUCCAUUUGACUCACCUUAGUUAUCUGUAAUAACUAUUAUAAUAGAACAGGUUCAACAUGAGGAAACUAAAAGGCUCUUUGCUCCUAAAAAAAAGAGUAACAUAACUACAUUUCUGACCCCUCACCCUAUCAGCCGUGUAACACUUCGAGGUCUGGCUGUAUAACUUUUGUUUGUUCUGAAAUGUUCGCACAUCUCAAUUACGCUACAAACUGCCAACUUUAGUUGCUAAUAGAAAAUUUUGAUGACAUGAUAGUAAUAUUUAAUUAUUCCGAUUAUCAAUCAUUCACUACUUCUAUAAUCAACAAUUUCUUAUAUUUAGAAGUAAAAUAGAUGUGGACUUAAAUUGUAAAAGCUCAUAGUAAAAUAAGAGAUUAAAUAAAAGACGCAAAUUGUCACGGCGCUUUAUCCAAUUUCGGGGACCGCUAAGGUCGUAAUCUCAUCGAGCAACUAACCUAUCUCCCCAAUUUCUUAAUUUGUUGGCAUCCUCUGCUGUAAUCUAUCUCAUACUUUCAAUUCAAUACUGUAAUUAUAUAUAUAUAUAUAUAUAUAUAUAUAUAUAUAUAUAUAUAUAGUAUGAAAUCGGCUACUAUGCUUAUUGAGGAGUACAACAGCCCUUAUCUCCUAACUUUUCUAACCCAUGCAAGUGAUGUAGUUAUAUCAAGAAAGAGAGGAAGAAGAUAUUUGGGAGAACCAAUAUCUCUUCCCUCUCUUAUCUAUAACACUACUCCAUCAACAUUAAUGGGGGGUUAGAAAGUUAUGACACAAAACUGCUGUCCCUCCUAAUAGCACAGUAGGCCCUACUAUAUAUAUAUAUAUAUAUAUAUAUAUAUAUAAUCACCUAAUAUAGGUACGUAGGCGUACGCAACCAGCUAAUAGUAUUGAAGACGUGUAGGCUUAUACUUAGUAUAUAUUAUAUAUAUAUAUAAUAUAAGGAUCGGUAUCUGCGAAUAUGACAAAUAUUGUUUGGUGCUGAAGUGACAAUUUUUGUUACCGUAAAUAAUUUUUUUGACAACAGAUUAUUGCAUUUCACUAACCGCAAGUGUAUGAGAACAGAAACUUCAAAAUCCAUUUCGAUCAGCAUACAACAUAUUAUUGCAUAGCUUUACUGGUAUGUAUACAAACUUCUACAACUUCUAAUAUAUAUGAUGAUCUUAGUGUGUCUCAAUUGCCAGCAAAAAACUUGUAGUACAUCUUGUCAAUCAUGUAGAAGUAAGUAUUUUUCCAUGCAGAUUUGAAGAGCAAGACACCGUAAACCCCCCAAAGCCCCACAAUAAAUCCCAACCCCGUAGCAAGAAAAAUUUCUAUGUUCUCCAAGCCACCAUUGUGUUGUUUCGUCUCAUCAGGAGUAUAUGUCGGUUCAUUUCCGGAGCAAUUCUUCAAAAUAGGGGGACCGCAGAGAUAGGGAUUGCCAGCAUAUAUAGUAGGAUCAACCAGUGUCUGCAUUUGAUCUCCAGAUGGAAUCCUUCCUGAGAAGUUAUUGUACGAUAAAUUCAAGCUGCUCAGAGAUGUCAAGGCCGUUAUACUUUGGGGGAUGGUUCCAUUUAAUUCGUUUAUAGAAAGAUCGAGAGACUCCAAAGAUUGUAAGUUUCCUAUCUUAUCAGGAAUCCUUCCCUUUAAGUGAUUUCUUGGUAAGUUCAAAUUGUGCAGCGCUGAUAGAUCGGCUAAUUGCUCAGGAAUCACACCACAAAGGUUGUUACCUGAGAGGUCCAUGCUCUUCUCAAGAUAGAGGUUCUUAGAAAAUUGAAGAUCCAACCCUUUUGUUGCAAUAUUUAAUCUUUAACUGGAAAAAUUUUGAUUCAACAUGUAACCUAAUAUAUGUCCAUCGAUUGUUUGUAUUACAUCAAAAAUAAAAUAAACCAAAUGUAUAUUAGCCAUGUAUUUAGAUAACUUGGUUGAAGCCAUUGCAUGGAAAUUACCAAAAGAUUGAGGUAUGUUUCCUGAUAGAUUGUUCCAAGAAAGAUCCAAGAUUUGAAGAUUCUCAAGUUGUCCGAGCUCUGCAGGAAUGUUGCCGGCAAACAUAUUUGACAUCAAUCGAAGAAUUGUAAGAUUUGUUAACUUUCCUAGCCAUGUAGGAAUCUCACCCGAUAAAUUGUUUUGCCCAAGAUCAAGUAGUACUAAUGGGCAAUACUGUAAAGAAGAAGGAAGUUUUCCAUUUAUGGUGUUAUUGUUUAAGUGUAAGAACUCAAGAUUACGGACAAAGCCCAAUGAAUCAGGAAGUUGUCCUGAUAGCUGUUAAUUGGAUAAGUUUAUAAUAUAUAGAUCCUUUGAUGGCACCAUACCAGCAAUUUGGCAGCUCACCAAAUAAUUUGUUGGCUCGCAUGUCAAGUUCGAACAAAGAAUUGGCAUUUGCAUAUAGAAAAUGAUGGGAAUCCAUCACUAAGUGGGGAAUUGUAUUCGAGGAACGAACGGUGAACAGAUUUGCUUGAAAGAAAGACCAAUGGAAGUGAUCCAAAAAACAUAUUGUUUGAGAAGUCAGGCCAAUCAAGAAACCCGGCAAAGAUGGUAGAAUCCAUGUAAAUGGUUGACCUAACUUUAAAACUCUUAUGAUGUCAUAUUUCCAGAGAAAAUGGCAACAUGCCGCUAUUUGGUUAUUAGAAAGGUCUAACGAUCGCGAUAGAUGAAGUAUGUUCCAAAGCCAAUAAGUGAAUAGGUCUGUGAUCCAUUAUCUGACAAGUAGAGUUCAAUUUCUUGUUGGGCAAUCGGAGCCAUCUUGCAACGUUGGACGCAAUCGACAUGAGCUCAAAACUAAUUCUUGCACUUGAAAAGGAGCACCGCAAUUAUCUCGACCUUAACUCAGAGAGAUGUAGUCACUCCGCCAUAGUGAACUUUAUCCUGUGAAGUUCAUAAGAUGAGUUUCAAGCAUAUCCCGAGAGUUUCCGGCACCUCAUGCCGAAGAUUGGCAGUAGGAGGCAAUCUCCACAACACAGGGCCGUGGACGAACCGGCUCUGAUACCAAUUGUUAUCGUAUCUGACUCAGCCAAACCCGUCAAUGAAUGAUAAUUCCGCUGAGACGAAGGACGGCGUGGCAGGAUGAUGGCUACAUCAAAUCGUAUCUCGAGAUUACCCCGCCCAUAUACUGUACGAGAUAACGAAUAAGAGGGAGACGGAUGGGAUUUGAGGCGACAAAAGAGAGAUGAAGAGAGAGAUAGAUCGGAUAAGAUGUUGAGGCUAGAAGAGAGGAAGGCAGAAGAUAAUGAAAUAGGGCAGAGACUAUAACAAUAUUUCCAUAAAAAUCUAGUUAGGUUUACAAUUUGCUAUUUGUUCCCCUAUAUAAUGGACUAAAAUGCGAUUAAUAAAACUAAACAUUGCUAAUUGAGAACGAAUUAUAAAUUGGGGCCUCUCUGCCUCCGUCUUGGGUCGAAUUCGAUGGAAUCGUGGGCGCUGUAAAGAAACCGAUUCUGCCGCAAGGAUCGCCUGUUGCAGGUAAGUGGGCCUCCCGGGUCCUUCUCCUCCCAAUAUCCACAAUCCGCUGGUCGCUGGCCGCCCCUUUUACCUCACCAUCUCGGCUCCGACCGCGAAGGUUCGCACCUGCUCCGAAGCUUCUACUACUCCAUCACAAUCGCCCUUUGCUGUACCACUCCCUAUGAAAAACUCCUGCUCCUUCUCGAAUCACCAUGGUGACCUGUUCGUGCUCCAGGCUCCCACAAGGAAAAGCUUAAGGCUUCAUUAUCUCUUCCCUUAAAAUUAUCCAAUUCCCUAUUUACUCUGUCUACCUCUAACCCUUAACUCCUCUCCUACUUGGCAAGAUGCAAACAGAAUUUUAAUUAGAUUUAAUUUUUUUUGCAAAUUGAACCUUAAUUUUUUUGGCAAAUUGAACCAAAAUCGAGCUGAUAAACCCUUAGCCAUGACAAAGGUUUUUUUUCUUUUUUUUGUUUUUUUUUUUGGUGAGGUGUGAAACCGAGAAAAUGUGGUAAAAAAGUUGCUGGACUUGGAGUCAUCCCACAAUAAGCAGGCCACUUUUUUAGUGGGCUUGAUCUUGACUUCCACUUUUAACGUAAACAUCAAGAUAUAAAUUAAGUGCUCAACUGGAACUUUUUGUGAACUGCUUAUGCAAUUAUGCAGGUCAUGAUAUUACAUCAUUGGAUAAAACUUCAAAUACGGAGCGAAUUAUUAAUGUUUGACUCAGUGUAUCUGUAACAUCCAUGACACUGGCACCCGCAUAUAUUUGUGAUAAUAUUCUAAAUCAAAUCUAAUAAUAACCCAUCAAAACACCAUAGCGUUGAGUAUGAAAUAGAUUCUGUUCUGUUUAAGAGAAUGGUGUCAAAUUUUUAUAAUUUUUUAUUUAUAGGUCGCUUUAAAUUUAUAGAGUAUAUUAGUUAAUUUGAUUUAAUUUUGUGACCUGUCCUCAGAGAUUCGAAGAGUAAACGAUGUAUACAAAGGUUGGGAGAGUUCCGACCUUAUCCUCCAUUUAUUUGGCGGAUCGAAAUAGUUCGGUGGCGGUUAAUUUUUACUAUACACUUCAUUCGCGAGUGCUGGUCAGGAAAAAACAAAUGAGAAAGCAGAUUUUGACAGAUCAGGAUAAAUUAAGGAAGAUAUAGAUCCCACCUUUCACGGUCCAUUUUUUCACAAUCAGUUUUUCAGGACGAAUUACCUUUUUCUAUUUUUCACCUAGUAUCAAUCUCAUUCGGGCUGACAAAGUUAGAAACUGGAUUUAUUUAGGCGGAUAGAAACUCUAAUAAGUUUGGCGUUUACAAGUCAGAGCAAAAAAAAAGGAAAAAAGAAUUUGUAGGUAACCCGUAUACCACCUGCCCACCCUGCGGGCGGCGUACAGGUAAACAUGUUGGCCAUCCAAAAAAUUACAAGUAAAUUUAAAAUCCAUGCCCAUAUAACCCGCAGGUGAAAAAGUAUGAUAAAAAAAAUAAUUUAUUUAUUUUCGUAUGUAAUAUUGGCGUUAGCAUAUAUCACAUAUGAAUCGGUUAACAAUAUAUUUUCUCGCGGUCCGGAGAAUGCAGAAGCCAUAUCCCUAUAUAUUUUUAACCCCCCCAACUCUAUUUUAUCUAAUAGCGUAAGAUGCCACAAAAUCGUAAGAGAACACGAGACUGGUUAUCAAUUAUAUGAAAAGAUGCUAUAGCUUCUUUUGACCCCCACACUGUGGCAUCUUGGCUUGAGUGGUAAAAAAAAAAAAAAAGAAGGGCAUUAUGGUCUUUUUGGGGUUGGUGGAUAAGUAGGGGUGGCAAUCUAGGGGCUGCUGUUCGGAGCCACUCGUGUCGCGUGCGAAAUGAGCUCUGAGACGUCUCGCAUCGUUUAUUAAACGAGCUCGAAUACGAGCUGGAUUUUUUCAGCUGCGUUUAAAAACGAGCCGAAGCACUAAGCUGGGGUCAGCUCCGCCGUCAGUGUUCGCUCGAUAACAGGCUCGAAUACAUAUAUUUAUAUUUAUAUAAUUUAUAUUUUAUAUAUAAAUUAAAUAAUUAUAUAUAAAUUAUAUUUUUUUUUAAUCAUCUAAUUUUUAAAAAAAAUAAAAUAUAAAUCGAACUUAAAUAUAAAAGACUUAUUUAUAUGUAUUUUAACUAUUAAAUCAAAGUCCUAAUGAAUAAGAUUUAUACAAUUUAUUUUUUAUAUAUAUUUAAUCUAAUCCUUUUUAAUUAUUGUUCUUGGUCAACUCGUGAGGGCCAGCUCGUGUUCCGCUGCCGUUUAUUAACGAGCGAACACGACUGAAUUUUCGCUCAAUACUUUAACGAGCCCAGCUCGUGUUCGACUCGUUUAAUAAACGAGCCGAACGAGCUCGACCCCAGCUCCGCCUCGUGUCGGCUCAUUUACAGCCCUAUGGAAAGCAUGCCAACAACUCCCUCUUGAUAUUUAUCACUCUACCUGUCUGAGGGAUAAUUAUCAUUUUCUUUUACUCUCAGAACUUGAAUCGUGGCUUGGAGAGAUUUAUGGCUCCAUUCGGGUGAUUUUCGAACGUCGCCGCUGGGGAGCGCGUCGAGGCACUACGUGCGUCGGGCCGCGAGUUUAGCGAGGAGGCCGGGCGAGGAGGAGUGUUUUCGUCGUUCUCGACGCCGUGCCGGAAUUGGAGUCGCUGGUUGAGGAUCUUGUGCGUCGACUGUUAGAUUUCAGCUCGUACGCUAGACGUAGAGCAUCGAUUUCGACGAGAUUUGGUUGCGUUUGGAACCGGGACUGUCGAGACGAAGAUUCUGAGCCAAGAAUCGCAAUUUUUGGAAGCAGGUCCAGCGUCGAGCGUAUUCGUAUUCUGGCCCGUUUCUGCGUAGGACGUCGAAUUCAGCGAAACCUGGCCAUUUGGAAAUUCCGUGCUUCGAGAGCGUAAGCUUCAGGAACCUUGUUUGCCUGAAUUUGGAUAAGGUUAGCUUUGGUCGAUUAACACUUUCUUCGCUGCCAGGAGGUUGCUUGAGAGGUGGGUUACAUGCGGCUUUUACUGCUAAGUUCAUAUUCCGUCGGGCAUGUAUAGAUUUCGACCUUUGGAUACUCUUAUUCUAGCUCGAAUUCAUCGAAUUAUAUUGUAGGUGCAAAUCUGAAUUUGAGGCAAUGUGUAAUAAUUAAGUAGGUUAUACAUCGUUUGGACUUGAAAAUUGAAUUAGGAGAAAACCUGCGAUUUGGACCUGUCACUUGUUUAAACUGCCUGAUAUUAGCUCUGAAGGAGCCGUUAUUAAAAUUGUACUAUAUCGCAGUAUCUUCGAGAUGAGUACUCCACGGUAGUUUAGUUCACAAUUUAGCUCGUCUGGUGCGCCGAGUGGAUUUACAGGAUCGGUCAAAUUGUUCCGGGGACUGGGGUGCCGUCGAGUUGACGUGACCCGUAUCGCCUUUUGGGAGUCAGAUUGUCCGAGGGCACAUUACCUGUUGGUGGGUAGAUUCAAGUUGACGUGGUUACUUGACUUUGGCUUUUCCAAGAGCCUGUUUGAGCUCGACAGAGCAUACGGCUGUAUACUCGUUGGGUAGCGCCCACGAGUGCCCUACCGGAGCUCAGGCUUUGUGCUUUCGCGUUGGUGUCGCGUCAUUGCCAGUUGGACUUGCUCUCCCACAGAGCAGAUUGGGUUGGGGGUAGCUGGAGUCCGCACGGGGAGAGACGGGUGUAUCACAGUCCCAAGGGAGGGUAUGUUUACAGUUGAUUGGAAUUGGUCAGAUUUGACAUUUCCUACAGUUGGUGUGUUAGAGCAUGAUAGUGUAGUGAUUGAUAGCAGUAGAGUGUACUUCGCUCCUGCUUUCUACUAUUUAUUGCUCCCUUCUGUAGACUUAGUGGGUAAGACGAUGUUGUUUGGGCGGCAACCGCAACUGAGUGACUACCUGUUUUUAAUACAGUAGUUCUCACUGCCCAGUUGUUACUGCUGUUUGGCAAAGCCACGGUGCCGGCUGCUGCAAUGCUUCGCCGACGCAAGGAUCGAGGUAAGGGCGUUUGCGAGCUAUGAGCCCUACCCAGACAGUCAAGAGCUAAGAGGCUAUUUCACUACUGCAGGUAGUUGUUUUUGGCAAUUUUACGUAUAUAGUUGUUUAAUGCUUGCAGUGCGAGUAACCUUGUAUAUUUGGAUCUAGGCUAUGUAUAUGAAACUCAGUUAUUUAGGUUUUUUUGAGCAGCUCUAUGCUACCUGUUAGUAUCGUAUUUCUAUCAGUACUUUGACGCUUGUAUACAAGGAAAAUUCUUUGUAUACGGCGAUUUGUCGGGCGUGCACCNNNNNNNNNNNNNNNNNNNNNNNNNAUUGCCCCUUAUUGGACUCUCCCCUAGCUUAUUUAGCACGAUACGAAUGGUUUUGGGUAAAUCCUACGUACUAUAUCCGGUGUAAGUAAUACUUUUCUCUUUUCACACAACUUGACCUAACUUUGGGUAGACAAUUUAUUGAGUUUUGUAAUUUAAUUAUCUAACUCGUAAUUUGUUUUACAAUCCAUUUUAAAAUCAAAUCUAAAUAGCAUUCAAGUGAUUCAAAUUUAGAGAAAUUGAAUUCAGAGCAAUUAAGGGUGACUAUUUUUGCUUGGAAUAAAUUGGAAUUUAAUAGAGUUCAACUCCAAAUUAUUGUUUGCAAUGGAAUAAAAAGUCGUUUUAGUAUGUCGAUGUCUCCUAAUAUAUAUCUUUAUUUAAAUUGAAAGAAAAUUAAUAUCCAUUAAUUUUGGGAAGGAAUUAUUGGGACAACGAAUACAUAAUAACUCUCAGUGAUUUAAUUCUUACCGAACCAAAAUCAAUUGAAGGAAUUUGAUCCUAAUUAAUUAGCAUCGUUGGUUUAUACUAACAAUCACUGUUUAAAACACUUGGUUUUUUUUUUCUUACUGAAAAAGGCUAUUUAUGAGAUCGAAAGUUCGGCACAGCAUUGAUGCUUCAAAAAAUUAGGGACUCGAUCACCCCUAACUUUUCACAUAGUACCUUAGCAUUUAAUCAAAAGCAAUAUGAUAAAUAUAAUAAUUUUAUACUGAAACAAUGUUUAAAGAUAAAUUAUCUUUGUACUUGAAAAUUAUCUUUGUACUUGACUAUCUUUACUUGACUAUCUUUUGAAUGGAUGCCAUUAUUACUACAUGACAUAGUCUUUUUUUAUUUAUAUAUAUUUUUUUGAGGUGUGAAACCGAGAAAAUGUGGUAAAAAAGUUGCUGGACUUGGAGUCAUCCCACAAUAAGCAGGCCACUUUUUUAGUGCUUGAUCUUGACUUCCACUUUUAAACGUAAACAUCAAAUAUAAAUUUAAGUGCUCAACUUGGAAUCUUUUUGUGAACUGCUUAUGCAAUAUCAGGUCAUGAUAAUUACAUCAUUGGAUAAAACUUCAAUACGGAGCGAAUUAUUGUAUGUUUGUACUCGGUGUAUCUGUACAUCCCAUGCACUGCACCCGCACUUUAUAUUUGGUGAUUAAUAUUCUAAAAUCAAAAUCUAAUAUAACCCAUCAAAACACAUGCGUUGAGUAUGAAAUAGAUUCUGUUCUGUUGUAAGAGAAUGGUGUCCAAAUUUUUAUAAUUUUUUUAUUUAUAGGUCCUUUAAAUUUUAUAGAGUAUAUCUAGUUAAUUUGAUUUUAAUUUUGAGACCUUCCUCAGAGAUUUGAGAAGUAAACGGGAUGUAUCCAAGGUUGGGAGAGUUUCCGACCUUAUCCUCCAUUUAUUUGGCGGAUCGAAACAGAUUCGUGGCGGGUUAAUUUUUUACUUAUCACUUCAUUCGCGUCUGGUCAGGAUGGAAGCAGAUUUUUGACAGAUCGGGAUAAAUUAAGGAAGGAAUAGAUUCCCCACCUUCCACUCCAUUUUUUUAACAAAUCAAAAAAGAUUCAGGACGAAUUACCUUUUUCUUAUUUUUCACCUAGUUAUCGUCUCAUUCGGGGCUGACAAAGUUAGAAACUGCAUUUAUUUGGCGGAUAGAAACUCUAUAUAUAUAGUUUUGCGUUUACAAGUACAAGAGCAAAAAAAAAAAGAAAAAAAAAUUUGUGGGUAACCCGUAACCCACCUGCCCACCCGCGGGCGGGUACAGGUAAACAUGUUGGCCAUCCAAAAAAUUACAAGUAAAUUUUAUCCAUACCCAUAUAACCCGCAGGUGAAAACGUAUGAUAAAAAAAUAAUUUAUUUAUUUUCGUAUGUAAUAUUGCGUUACAUAUAUCACGAUGAAUCGGUUACAAUAUAUUUUCUGCGGUCCGGAGAAUGCAGAAGCAUAUCCCUAUAUAUUUUUACCCCAACUCUAUUUUAUCUAAUAGCGUCAGAUGGCCACAAAAUCGUAAGGAACACAGGCUUUAUCUAUAUAUAUGUAAAAGAUCUAGCUUCUUUUGACCCUACACGGUGGCUCUUUAUUCCCUAUUUUCAACCAUAUUUAAUUUAAUUAAUGCAUUAUUAAGACAAAGCCAAAUCUGACCCUACUCAAGCACGUGCUCAGUAAAUUUCUUUCCACCUAAUUUUUUUCAAGGAAUAAUUAUCUAUAUACCUCUCAAAACUUCAACCCCUUAUAUAUUCUUCCGUUAUUCAAAAAUAUUUCCGCAGUUACCCCCGUUAAGUUAUCUCAGGUUAAACGUAGUUAUAUGUCUAUCAAUAUUAAAAAAAAUUAAAAUAUCUCUUUUGCCCUUAACGUAAGGGCGAAUAAGAAAAGUUGGUAAUAUUAGAAAGGCAUAUUUUAAAAGGCCAAAAAUCAAAUUACUUCUUUUGCCCCUAACUUAAGGACAAAUAAUAAAAGUUGGUUACAGUAAAAGAAUAUAUUAAAAAGGGCAAAAUAGUAAUUUCACAGAGAUAACGAUUAUUACUAACGCCUAACAAAAUUCAACUCUAGGGAUAUAUUUGAAAUAACUUAGAACGUGAAAAGAAUAUUUGCCUUCUAAGAGAGGUAAAUCAAAAAGUCGAAAAUUUUUCAGGAGUAUGUAAGCAAUUGCCUUUUUUUUAAUUGGAUUGCAAAGUAUAGGGUAUAUGCGUUCAUUUUUAUUUACUUUUCUUUAAUUGUGAAUUUAUAUUUUUUAUUUAUGAAUUGUAAUUUUUUUGAGUUGUUGUAAUAUAAAUACAUAAUUAGUACAUUAAAUAUUUUUAGUUAGUUGUACUUGGUUAUUAUUGUUUCGUAAAUAAUAAUUAUUCAUUUUUUUUUCUAUUUUGAACAUAUAGUUAAUUUCAUAUGAUUUGUAAGUAACUAAUUUAUUUAUCAUCAAUUUUUACUAGUGAAUAUAUAGAGAAAUUUUUAAAAGAAAAGUGUCUUUUAGUUCUUUACAAUAAAAGUCAUCUUGAACUCAAAAAAGAGAGAGUGAAAAUAUAUAAGGUUUUACUAACAAUACAAAUCAAUCUUUUAUGAGAGAAGUAAAUGACAUAAAUUCUCUUCUGGCUAAUCUGGCAAAUAUGAAAAGAAUAUUAAAUACUAUUCAAACAUUCAGAUCUACCACUAAAUAUUAAUAUUUUCUCUUCAUCGUAUUGAUCUUAUUAUGAAAAAUUUCUAAAUUCACCACUAUAUAUAUAUAUAUAGUACGAUAGAAUUCAAGCUGGCUCAGAGAUGUCAAGGCCGUUAUACUUUGGGGAUGGUUCCAUUUAAAUUCGUUUAUAGAAAGAUCGAGACGACUCCAAAGAUUGUAAGUUUCCUACUAUCAGGAAUCCUCCCUUUAAGUGAAUUUCUUGUAAGUUCAAAUUGUGCAGCGCUGAUAGAUCGCUAAUUGCUCAGGAACUCACACCACAAAGGUUGUUACCUGAGAGCCUAUGCUCUCUUAAGAUAGAGGUUCUUAGAAAUAUUUGAAAUCCAACCCUUUUGUUGGCAAUAUCAUAACUUUACUGGAAAAAUUUUGAUUCAACAUCGUAGCCUAAUAUAGUGUCAUUGAUUGUUUGCUAUUACAUCCAAAAAUUAAAAUAAACCAAAAUGUAUAUUAUGGCCAUGUAUUUAUAUAACUUGGUUGAAGCCAUUGCAUGGAAAAUAUACCAAAAGAAUUAGAGGUAUGUUUCCUGAUAGUGUUCCGCAAAAGAAAAAUGCCCAAAUUGAAAAUUCUCAUUGUCCGACGCUCUGCAAGAAUGUUGCCGGCAAACAUACAAUUGAUCAUCAAUCGAAGAAAUUGUAUAGAGUUGUUAACUUUCCUAGCCAUGUAGAAUCUCACGCCGAGACUAAAUUGUUUUGCCCUAAGAAUCAAGUAGUACUAAUGGCAAUACUGUAAAGAAGAAGGAAGUUUUGCCAUUUAAUGGUGUUAUUGUUUAAGUGUAAGAACUCCAAGAUUAGCGGACAACAGCCCAACUGAUCAGGAAGUUGUCCUGAUAAGCUGUGUUAUGGAUAAGUUUAAUAAUAUAUAGAUCCUUUGAUGCACCAAUACCAGCAAUUUGGCAGCUCACACAAAUAAUUUGUUGCUCGAUCCAUUCAAGUUCGGAACGAAAGAUUGCAUGUUGCAUAUAGAUGAUGGAUGCCAUCACAUGCAUGUCGAGAGACCAACUGCGGGCUUUAGAUCCAAAAACUAUGUUUGAGAAAUCAGGCCCAAUCCAAUAAACCAAGCAAAAGAUGGUAAGAAUCCAUGUAAAUGGUUAGAAACCCUAAAUUAACACCUCUAAUGAUGUCAUAUUUCCAGAGAAAAUGCAACAUGCCAGCCUAAUUUGGUUAUUAGAAAGGUCUAAGAUCGCGAUAGAUGAAGAUAUGUUCAAACCAAUAAGGAAUGGGUCUGUGAUCGCCAUUAUCUGACAAAUGUAAGAGGUUUUUUUUUUCCCCCCAAUUUCUUGUUGCAAUCUGGAGCCAUACUUGGAAAUCGUGGACCCAAUCGAGACAUAGCUCAAAAACUACAUUCUUGCACCUUGAAAAGAGAGGCACCCAAUUAUCCUCGACCUUACAACUACAAGAGAUGUAUCACUCACUGCCAUAUGCCUUUAAAUCUUGUGAAUUUCAUAAGAUGAUUUCAAAGCAUAUCCCAGAGAGUUUCCCAACUCAAUGUCCGAGAUUGAGUUAGAAGCAAUUCACACAACAGGGCCGUGGGAUCGGACACGCUCUGCUUGUCCACACCGUCAAUGAUAGAUAAUUCAAGGACGGCGUGAGGAUGAUGCUACAUCAAAUCGUUCUCUUCGAUGAUACCCGCCCAAAUACCGCUACGGAUCGAAAUAAGAAGGGAUGAGGGUGGAAAUUUGAGGCGAAAAGAGAGAUGAAGAGAGAAGAUCAGAAGAUAGAUGUUCGCAGGCGCAGAAGAGAGGAAAGAAGAAGAUAAUGAGAAUAGCAGAGACUUAACAAAUUUUCCAUAAAAAUCUAGUUAGUUACAAUCUGCCUAUUUGUUCCCCUAAUAAUUGGACUAAAAUGCGAAUUAAUAAAAACUAAACAUUGCUAAUUGAGAAUCGAAGUUAUAAAUUGGGCUUCUCCUGCUUCCUCGUGAUCGAAUUCAUGGAGACGUAGGCCUGUAAAAGAAACGCGAUUUAUGGCCCAAGGACCGCCUGUUGCAGGUAAUGCUCCACCGGGUCAUUCUCACCACCAAAUAAUCCACAAUCCGCCGGUCGGGCUUCGCCCCUAAAUAUCGCUCCACCAUCCUCUGGCCCGACCCAAAGCUUGCGCACCUGCUCUGAGCUUUCUACUCCAUCACAUUCGCCCUUUGCUGGUACCAUCCCCAUGACUACUUGCUCCUUCUCGAUCAGCCAUGGUUGACCCGCUGUUCGUAGUCCAGGCUCCCCAAAGGAAAGCUACUACCAAUUAUCCAUUCCUCCCCUUUUAUUCAUUCGCAAUUACUCUGUUUCUACGCUCUAACGCCUAACUCCUCUCCUAUGGCAGACCCUUUUUUUUAAUUUUUUUCUGACUUAUUUGGUCUCGAGCCUGUAGUAAGAACCCUUGACAUGACAAAGAUGUUCUUUUUUUUUUUUUUUUUGGUGUCUUCCCUUAUUUUUACCCGAUAGAUUAUACUAUUCAACCAACCACUUCACUCAACACUAGGACAACACACAUCCUAACACACAUUUCUCAAUCCAGAGCUAAAAAACUCAAUAGCAUCAAUAGCUUGGUGCUAUUGAUAGUAUUCAGCCUAAUUCUGUAUAUAUAUAUAUAUAUAUAUAUAUAUAUAAACAGAUAGAAAAUUUACGAUAAUAGGCCGAAUCAAAAAGAGAAUAAAGAAUAGUCUAUCUAUAUUUUUUAAAAAAAGAAUAAUAUCUAAUAACCUUUUAAAAUUUAAAAGUAAUUUAUUUAUUAUGUAGGACAGGAAUAGCUUGUUGAUUUUAAAAAUUACACUAAUGCGGUUGGGUUUUGAAAGACAAUUUGACAAUCUCAAAUAAGUUUAAAAUUUGAAUAGUAGAUUGGGUAAUAAGCAAAAGCUCCAACAAAAACACCAAUGAUACAUAUCCAUACGUAUUAAAAAAAAAAAAAAAAAAAAAAAAAAAAAAAAAAAAAAAAAAAAAAAAAAAAAAAAAAAACCAUUUGAUACCUUGCUACCAUACGAUUUGAUAACAUACCAAUUAAUCUCUUUUAAGGGCUUCCACGAACCUUCCAUACCAUUCGAUACAUGUAUGGAUACAAUCCAACCGAAUGUAAGUCAAUUUAAAUUCUUCCAGUCAUGGAAUAUUUAAAGUGCUUACAAUCCCACAACAUGUUCAUCUUGCAAAUAUAACAUGCAUUACACAUGCACUGGAACUAAUUCUAAAAGAAUAGUAAGAGCAAUUUUAUUUUUGUUCUUUUUUAUAUAAGAACCAAUGGUACUACAAUUCCACAUAUGUAAGAGUUAAGAUAGUAUUAUGCAUGCAAAAUUAAAUUUAAAAAAAAAACAUAUCCUGCUAACAGUAAAUUUAUGAGAACAAAAGCUUCAAAAUCCAGUUCCACUAGCACGCAAUAGAAUACAUAUACUAGUGUUUAUUUAUACAAAAUUCUUCAACUUCUAUUAUAUAUAAUCUUAGUGCCUCUCAAUUGCCAACAAAAAACCUAUAAUACAUCUUAUCGAUCAUGUAGAAGUAAGUAUUUCUCCAACUAGAUUUGAAGAGCAAGAUACCAUAAACAACCCAAAGCCCCACCAAAAAUCCCAAUCCCAUACCGAGAUAAAUUUCUAUAUUCUUCGGGCCACCACUGUGUUUCUUCUCAUCAGGAGUAUAUGUUGGUUCAUAUCCGGAGCAAUUCUUUGAAAUGGGGGGACCGCAAAGAAAGGGAUUGCCAGCAUAUAUAGUAGGAUCAACCAGUGUUUGCAUUUGAUCUUCAGAUGGAAUCCUUCCUGAGAGGUUAUUGUAUGAUAAAUUCAAGCUGCUCAAAAAUAGCAAGGCCGUUAUACUCUCGGGGAUGGUACCAUUUAAUUCAUUCAUAGAAAGAUCGAGAGACUCCAAAUAAUGUAAGUUUCCUAUCUUAUUAGGAAUCCUUCCCGUUAAGUGAUUUCUUGAUAAGUUUAAAUUGUUCAGUGCUAAUAGAUCGACUAGUUCCUCAGGGAUCGCACCAUGAAGGUUGUUACCUGAGAGGUCUAUGCUCUUCUCGAAGAACAGAUUCUUGGAAAAUUGAAGAUUUGACCCUUUUGUUGCAAUGUAUAAUCUUUGGUCAGUAUAGCUUUGAGACACAUCGGAUGUGAAUGAAGUUUCGAUGCUUGUUGGCCUUAUAAAGUAAACAUAGAGAGUAACAAGUGGUUGAUUUAUAUAUCCAGGCAACUUGGUUGAAGCCAUCGCAUGGAAAUUACCAAAAGAUUGAGGUAUGUUUCCUGAUAAAUUGUUCCAAGAAAGAUCCAAGAUUUGAAGAUUCUCAAGUUGUCCGAGCUCUGCAGGAAUGUUGCCGGCAAACAUAUUUGACAUCAGCCGAAGAAUUGUAAGAUUUGUUAACUUUCCUAGCCACACAGGAAUCUCUCCUGAUAACUUGUUUUGCCCGAGAUCAAGUAAUAGUAAUAGACAAUUUUGUAAUGCCGAAGGAAGUUCUCCAUAUAAGCUGUUAUUGUUUAGGUGCAAGAACAAAAGAGAACUUAACAAACCCAAUGAGUCGGGAAGACGUCCAGACAGAUUGUUGUUGGAUAAGUUUAUAUCCAGCAGUUGUUUUGAUCCACUAUUCCAGCAAUUUGGUAGCUCACCAAAUAUUUUGUUGUUUGACAUGUCGAGUAUGUACAAAUUUUGCAAGUUGCAUAUAGAUGAUGGAAUGUUACCACUGAUGGAGUUGUUCGAGAGAUGAAUGGUGAGCAUAUUUGGCUUGAAGAAAGACUGUGGAAAUGAUCCAGAAAACAUAUUGCUUGAGAAAUCAAGCCAUUCCAAAGAAUGUGGCAGAAAUGGUAGGAAUCCUUCUAAAAAGUUAGAAGCUAAAUUUAACGCAUAUAAAGAUGUCAUGUUUUCCAAAGAGGAUAGCAGCAUGCCACUAAUUUGGUUAUUAGAAAGGUCCAAUAAUACUAUGGGAGAAGUUAGGUCCCAAAACCAAUUAGGAAUAGCUCCUGUGAUAUCGUUGUUUGACAAAUCUAGGACGAAGAUUUCUGUCUGCAACCGGAGCCAUCUUGGAAAUCGUGGACCCAAUCGACAUGAGCUCAAAACUAAUUCGUUCGCUUGAAAAGGAGGAACCCAAUUAUCGUCCACCUUCAAAUCAAGAGAUGUUCCACUCAACCUCAGCACCUCCAAUUUCGUGAAGUUCAUAAGGUGCGUUUCAUGCACAACCCCCCGAAACAAAUUUUCGGAAAGGUCAAGAAAAUAAAGAUUGGACAAUUUUUGUAUCCCUUCAGGUAUCGAACCAUUAAAGAAGUUAUUGCUGACAUCUAGAUAUAUAAGACUCGUCAUUUGUUCGAGCCAGCCAGACAAAUUACCCCUGAUAUUUGUUUUCUUUAAAUCCAGCGCUCGCCAAUUGUUAAGUGGGACACACGAGAAUAUUGACAGGAAUUCGACUAUAUCUCUAUCAAUAUUAAUUCCAGACAAAUCUAAAGUGGCCAAUCUGCAAAGAUUAUUGAUUGAAUCGGCUACUUGACCGUCGAAGUUGUUGGAUCCUAGCAAGAGGGAAGUAAUCCGAGUAAAAUUGUUUAGCUCGACAGGAAUAGGGCCAAAGAGAUUGUUAUUUAAGAGAUUUAGAUCAGUCAAACUAGUGAAGUUCCGAAGCCAACCGGGCCAAGUGGAGUUGAACAAGUUGUCUUGGAGAUCAAGUAUGGUCAAACUUGUUAAGUUAAAAUUGGAAAUGGGGUUAGGAUUGCUUGGAAGAAAACACAACCCUAAGCGGAGCACUUGCAAUGAAGACAACAUGUUUACUCCUUGCAACCAAUCAUUCGCAUUUUGUAGCAACACAGAGGUCAAGUCAAGGUACCUUAAAGAAUGGAGACCUUUGAUCCACGAUAGUUUGCCAUGAGAGGUAGUAGUAAGUUUAGCAUAAAUAUUACUAAGGUCAAGAUAACGAAGAGUUGAUAAGUUUCCAAAUUCAGGAGGUAUCGCUCCAGUAAAACCCGCAUAAGAGAGGUCAAGAUAUCUUAACUUCUUAUACGAAGCUAUGAAAUUAGGGAAACCGGUACUAAAGUUAUUUAUGCUGAGAUCUAAGUGCUUCAAGUGGCUUAAAGAUAGCAAUGAUGGAUUGAUCUCACCACCAAAACCUCUGUAGCUUCUAUUUGCGGAAGUUGCACAAGGGCAUCUGAGUUUGAGCUUCUCCACUCUGCGAGUCUCGUUGUUGCACCGAACUCCCUUCCAUCUGCAGCAAUCAGAGCCUUCCCAAGAAGACAAGCAGUUUCGUGGAUCGACGACACCGGACUUGAAUGCGAGAAGCGCCUCGCGCUCUACGCUGAGGCAUCCAUAGCUCUCCAAGAUUUGGUUUUCUAGAAGCCAAACCACAAGUGAUAUUAUAAAAAGUUGCAUGCUUGUAGCUUUAGCCCUCAUGCUUGAAGAGCCAGUUAAGGCUUUUUAUGAGAAGGUAUGUAGAAUUGUGUGCUCAAGCUAUGGACAUUUGAUUGCUAUAUAUAUUAGAUUGAUCAAACAUUUUGAAUGCAUCGUUGGAGUAUAAGAUUACCAUAUUGCCCCUUAUUGGUAGGGGUGGCAAUCCAGCUCGCUGUUCGCGAGCCAGCUCGUGUUCGGCUCGAAAUGANNNNNNNNNNNNUCGCUCGUUUAGUAAACGAGCCGAACAUGAGCUGAAUUUUUCAGCUCGGUUAAUAAAUGAGCCGAACACGAGCUAGGGUAAGCUCGCUCGUGUUCGGCUCGAUAACAGCUCGAUUAUAUUUAUUUUAUAUUAAUAUAUUUUUAUAUAUUAUAUUAUAAUAUAAUUAUAUUUGUAUAUAAAUAUAUAAUACUAAUUAUUAAUUUUAAAUUUUUAGCAUAAUUUUAUAAAAAAGCUCAGCUUAUAUAUUUAUAAAAGAGGCCUAAAUAAAUAGAGGCCCAGAGGCCCAUUUAUAUUUAAAAUUUUAACCGUUGGAUUAAAAUUUAAUGGUUAAGAUUGCAUCAACCUUUUUAAGUCCUUCCCUAUUUCCUAACCCUAGUUUCCUUUUCACACAUGGUUUCACACUUCACGCAGCCGUGGGCGGCGGCGGCGAUCACCACGGAGGCGGAGGCCGCGACCACAGGCAUGGCCAUGGCGGAGAGGCGUGGAAUUUCAGGAAGAAGGUGUGGAGCAUGAUGGGGGGGCCUACAAGCACUAGCGCCGCACGGCGAUCGCCAUGGCCGGGAUCUUCCUCACCUGCGUCCCAUCGCCAUGAAAUCUGCCGAGCUCGAGGUUUUUUUGCCCUAUUUUUUCUGUAGUUUUUGGUAUCAUCAGUGGGUUGUGGGGAUCGGGAUCGGGGUGGGGUAAUCCGGGGAUUCGUUGUAGGGUAUGAGUGGAAUAACGAUGAGAUUGAGUGGAUUUUUGAGUCAUUUUUUUGCGAAUUCGAUGUGAUUUAGCGUUUAAGGUUACGGGAAAAUGUAGAGAAAUGGAAGUAUUUAACCUUUUUUUUCUUCUAAUUAUUGAAAUAAUCACUGAUUCUCGUUCUCUCUCUCUCUCUCUCUCUCUCUCUCUCUCUUUAACGCAACCAGCCACAGGCGGUAGCACCGCCGUUCGCAAACACUCGGCAGCGGCAGCGGACUUCGAUAGCGGCGUUAACGACCCGAGCUAACGAGCCGAACACGAGCUAGCUCGAUUACGUUGCGAGCCGAUCACGAGCCGAAGAUCUCGAGCUCGUCACGAGCUCGAGCCGAACACGAGCCGACCUUGAGACGUUCGAGCCGAGCUCGAGCUGGCUCCAGCUCGCUCGAGCUCGGCUCGUUUACAGCCCUACUUAUUGGACUCUCCCCUAGCUUAUUUAGCACGAUACGAAUGGUUUUGGGUAAAUCCUACGUACUAUAUCCGGUGUAAGUAAUACUUUUCUCUUUUCACACAACUUGACCUAACUUUGGGUAGACAAUUUAUUGAGUUUUGUAAUUUAAUUAUCUAACUCGUAAUUUGUUUUACAAUCCAUUUUAAAAUCAAAUCCAAAUAGCAUUCAAGUGAUUCAAAUUUAGAGAAAUUGAAUUCAGUGCAAUUAAUUAAGGGUGAUUAUUUUAAUUUGCUUGGACUAAAUAAAUUGGAAUUUAAUAGAGUUCAACUCCAAAUUAUUGUUUGCAAUGGAAUAAAAAGUCAUAUUAAUAUGCCGAUGUUUCUUAAUAUUUUCCUUUAGUUAAAUUGAAAGAAAAUUAAUAUCCAUUAAUUUUGGGAAGGAAUUAUUGGGACAACGAAUACAUAAUAACUCUCAGUGAUUUAAUUCUUACCGAACCAAAAUCAAUUGAAGGAAUUUGAUCCUAAUUAAUUAGCAUCGUUGGUUUAUACUAACAAUCACUGUUUAAAACACUUGGUUUUUUUUUUCUUACUGAAAAAGGCUAUUUAUGAGAUCGAAAGUUCGGCACAGCAUUGAUGCUUCAAAAAAUUAGGGACUCGAUCACCCCUAACUUUUCACAUAGUACCUUAGCAUUUAAUCAAAAGCAAUAUGAUAAAUAUAAUAAUUUUAUACUGAAACAAUGUUUAAAGAUAAAUUAUCUUUGUACUUGACUAACUUUACUUGACUAUCUUUGAAUGGAUGCCAUUAUUACUACAUGACAUAGUCUUUUUUUAUUUAUAUAUAUUUUUUUGAGGUGUGAAACCGAGAAAAUGUGGUAAAAAAGUUGCUGGACUUGGAGUCGUCCAACAAUAAGCAGGCCACUUUUUUAGUGCUUGAUCUUGACUCUUAAGUCAUGAAAUAAUUCAAUUGUGGUUCGACUUGGUCUCUGUAAUAAAUCAGUUUGGUUCAGUUCUAUAUAAAACCGAGAAUUUUGAUUAGGUUUAAAUAUUUUGCAAAUUGAACUAAAUUUUUUUUGCAAAUUGAACCAAAUCAAGCUGAGUAAACCCUUAGCCAUGACAAAGUUUUUUUUUGUAGACUUAGGCUUAGCUUGGUAUUGAGGUUUAUCAAACGCUAUUAGAUAAAAUGAAGUUCGGGUAAAAAUAUAUAGAAAUAUGCUUUUGCGUUUUCCGAUAGAACCACGAAAAAUAUAUUAUAAUCGACUAAUCGCGAUAUGCAGAACGUAAUAUUACAUACAGAAACAAAUAGGAUGCUUUUCCAUCGUACUUCCUCACCACACGUAACGUAAUCUCCUCGCAAUCCCAAACAAAGCCUUAGCAUUUUCUGUCAGACUAACACAUUAAAAUAAAAGAAGUAGAUAAAAAUGUUUGAGGAUCCCUCAAAUAUAGAUCACUAUAAAACAGACCCGUCAUUUUUACGGAUUUCUAAGUGCGGGUUUACUAAAAUAUUAAUUUAAACCUUCGGUUUUCAAAAAAUUAAAAAAAUGUGACUAACUCUAGAUAAGGAGGAAUUCUACACUGUCACACUUGCACCACGUCAUCAAUAACAAGCCAAUCACAUUCCUUCUUUUCAAACAAAAGUACAAUAAAAAUAUAUUUUUACAACCAUGAUGGGACAUAUAUUCUUAAAAGGAUUAAUUUGAUUGGUUUGUUACGUCACGUCACUGAUAUACCCGUUGCAUUCUAGAAUUUUUCCUAGAUAAGGGUGUAAGGUCUCGACCCAAAACGGACUAGAAGCCAGCCUGGCCCAGCUUUAAAUUCGGGUCGGGCCUGUCGCUCCGGCUGGUCCAGGCCUCUCGCCCGGAGAACACUGUCCGUGCCGAGCUGAGCCAUGCUCCGAGACGGCCCCUUACUUUUUUUUUCAAAAAUAUAUAAAAUUUAAAAAUAUGAAAGAUUAAACCGGUCCUAUUUAAACUGAUAUUAUGAUUAAAAAUAUUUAAAAUUUACAAUAAUUAUUAUAAAAUAACAAAAAUUUUAAGUUGUUUAUAAAAAAAGGUGAAUUGGGUUCCUGGGACCAAAACCCACUCUUCCUUAUGUAUGGAGCAUUGGUAUGCACCAGGUGCAAGUAAACAAUUUCUCCUCUUUUAAAAUUGUAAGUACAUCCUAUUAAAUAUUCUUGAUACAAAGUAUACACUAUACAACAUUGUACUACAUUCCAUAAUGGUUUAAUUACAACUUUUCAUAAUGGCUUAACUACACUAUACUAUAUUGUACUUUAGUGUUAUCUUUUUUUUGUUAUAUUGUACUAUUUUUUUUUUUUUUCAAAAGCCUCUAUAUUUACCAAAAUCACCAUGUGGUUAUUAGUCUAUAUUUGCUGACGUGGCAAAUAUUGUUUGGUGCUGAAGUGGUAGCUUUUUUUUGUUAGAGUUAAGGAACUUUUUGAUAGUAGAUAAUUAAUUGAAAUAAAUGGUGAAAGUCAGGGACUUGAUUGAAAAAAUCGUACGCUUGGAGACAAAAGUAUGAAAAUUUGAGUAAAAAGUUGGGGACCAAUGGUUGAAUUAGUUUAAUCUAUACUAUAUCUAUAGCUAUACUAUAUAUAAAAUCAUACAAAAAAUUUUACAAUAAUAGACUGAAUUGGAAAAGGAAUAAAAGAAUAUGCCCUGCGAAUGGUUAUAAUCAAUUUAUUAAAAAAAUUUUAAGAAACAAUGAUCGGUUAUGAUCAAUCUGUUAAAAAAUAGCAUUUCUAUCCAUCUAUAAAUCCAAUCAUAUGAGCGGUUAUAAUUAAUUUGUUAAAACAUAUCUCAACAGAAAUGAAUGGUUAUGAUCAAUCUGUUAAAAAAUAACAUUCCUAUUCAUCUAUUUUAAAUUAAAAUUAAAAUUUGAAUUUAAAUCGUGAAUCAAAUUUAAUUUUGGAUAUCAAAUUUGAAUUAACAAUUAAAAAAUUUUAAUUACAGUGGAUCAAAAUUAAAUUUUAGAUUUUAAAGUAAAUGUGAAUUAAAUUUGAUUUUUUUAGUUUAAAACACAUGCUUAAAUUGUAGAUUCAUCAUAAUUCAAAAAUAUAUAAAAGUAUUCAAUGUGUAUGAAAAAAAAGAAAAAUACAAGAUAUUGCAGAUAUCUUCUAAUAAAAUAUUACAUAUAAAUUUAUAAAAUAUAUUUUUUAUUGCAAGUUUUUAAAAUAUAUAAAAAUAUUCAAUGUAAAUAAAAAAAUAAUAUAGAAUAUUAAAAAUUGUAAGUUUUUAAAAUAUAUGAAAAUAUUCAAUGUAUAUAAAAAAUAAUAUAGAGUAUCGUAGAUAUCUUCUAAUAAAAUAUAACAUAUAAAUUUAUGAAGUAUAAUUUUUAUUGUAGAUUUUUGGAUAAAUCUAAUGUACAAAUUUAUAUUGAUUUCAAAUAAAUUAAAAUAAUUGUUACAUAUAUGUGCACGUACGCUCAGCUAGUAUAUAUAAAAACAAAUAGAAAAUUUAACGAUAACAGUCCGAAUCAAAAAGAGAGAAUAAAAAAAAUAUUUUAUCUAUAUUUUAAAAAAAGAAUAAUAUCUAAUAUGUCUUUCAAAACUUUAAAAUAUCUUAUUUAAAUCCUAUCGGACCAUAAUAGCCUUGUUGAUUUUAAAAAAUUUCCACUAAUGAGAAUGGGUUUUUGAAAUAUAAUUUCAUAAUUUCAGAAUAAAUUUAAAAAUUUGAAUAAUAGUCAGGGGUAAAUAAUCAAAAGCUUCUAGAAACACACCAUAUUCCAUAUAUAUUACAAAAAAAAAAACCAUCAGAUACCUAGCUACCAUAUGUACUAUACCAUUUGAUACAUGUAUGGAUACAGUCCAACUGAAUGUAAGUUAAUUUAAAUUCUUCCAAUCAUGGAAUUAAAGUGCUUACAAUCCUGCAACUUGUUCAUCUUGCAAAUAUAACGCACAUUGCACGUGCACUAUAACUAGUUCUAAAUGAAUAGUAAGAGUAAUUUUAUUCUUGUUCUCUUUUUUUAUAAGAACCAGUGGUUCUACAAUUCCACAGGCGAAAUUAAAUUAAAAAAAGUACAUAUCCUGCUAACAGCAAAUUUAUGAGAACACAAACUUCAAAAUCCAUUUCCACUAGCACACAAUAGAAUACAUAUACCAGUAUUUAUUUAUACAUAAUUCUUCAACUUCUACUAUAUAAUCUUAGCGCCUCUCAGUUGCGAGCAAGAAACCUAUAAUACAUCUUAUCGAUCAUGAAAAAGUAAGUAUUUCUCCACGUAGAUUUGAAGAGCAAGAUACCAUAAACAGCCCAAAGCCCCACCAAAAAUCCCAAUCCCAUGCCGAGAUAAAUUUCUAUGUUCUUCACGCCACCACUAUGUUUCUUCUCAGGAGUAUAUGUUAUUUCAUUUCCAAAGCAAGUCUUCGAAAUAGGGGGACCACAAAGAUAGGGAUUGCCGGCAUAUAUAGUUGGAUCAACCAGUGUCUGCAUUUGAUCUCCAGAUGGAAUCCUUCCUGAGAGGUUAUUGUAUGAUAAAUUUAAGCUGCUCAAAGAUGUCAAGGCCGUUAUACUUUGAGGGAUGGUUCCAUUUAAUUCAUUCAUAGAAAGAUCGAGAGACUCCAAAGAUUGUAAGUUUCCUAUCUUAUCAGGAAUCCUUUCCUUUAAGUGAUUUCUUGAUAAGUUCAAAUUGCUCAGCGCUGAUAGAUCGACUAAUUCCUCAGGAAUCACACCACAAAGGUUAUUACCUGAGAGGUCCAUGCUCGCCUCAAGAUAGAGGUUCUUGAAAAAUUGAAGAUCCAACCCUUUUCUUGCAAUAUAUACUUUUUCACUGGUAGAAUUUGGAUACAGCAGGUAGUCUAAUGAACUUUCAUCUCUUAUUAUAGGUGUUGGAAAACUAAAAUCCAAAAGAAAAAGUGUUUGAACCGUGUAUUUAGCUAACUUGGUUGAAGCCACUGCAGAGAAAUUACCAAAUGAUUGGGGUAUGUAUCCUGAUAAAUUAUUCCAAGAAAGAUCUAAGAUUUGAAGAUUCUCAAGUUGCCCGAGCUCUGCAGGAAUGUUGCCGACAAACAUAUUGGACAUCAACCGCAGUAUUGUAAGCUCUGUUAACUUUCCUAGCCACGUAGGAAUCUUGCCCGAUAACUUGUUUUUCCCAAGAUCAAUGAAUACUAAUGAGCAAUACUGUAGAGAAGAAGGAAGCUCUCCAUAUAUGGUGUUGUUGUUCAAGUGCAAGAACUCAAGAUUACUAACAGAGCCCAAUGAAUCUGGAAGUUGUCCUGAUAGCUUGUUAUUGGAUAAGUUUAUAAAAGUCAAACUAUUUGAUGCACCAUUCCAGCAAUUUGGCAGUUUACCAAAUAAAUUGUUGUUCGACAUGUCAAGUAUGGACAAAGAUUGCAUGUUGCAUAUAUAUGAUGGAAUGUUACCACUUAUGGAGUUGUUCGAGAGAAGAACGAUUGCAAGAUUUGGCCUGAAGAAAGACCUUGGAAGUGAUCCAGAAAACAUAUUGUUUGAGAAAUCAAGCCAUAUCAAAGAAUCAGACAGAAAUGGUAAGAAUCCAUGUAAAUGGUUAGAACCUAAAUUUAACACCUUAAAUGAUGUCAUAUUUUCUAAGGAAGAUGGCAACAUGCCGCUAAUUUGGUUAUUGGAAAGGUGUAAGAUCACGAUAGAUGAAGAUGUGUUCCAAAACCAAUAAGGAAUAGUGUCUGCGAUCCCGCUGUCCGACAAAUCUAAGAGUUCAAUCUCUUGUUGCAAUUGGAGCCAUCUUGGAAAUCGUGGACCCAAUCGACAUGAGCUCAAAACUAAUUCUUGCACUUGAAAAGGAGGCACCCAAUUAUCCUCCACCCUCACCUCAAGAGAUGUACUACUCACCGAUAUAAACUUUAAUCUUGUGAAGUUCAUAAGAUGAGUUUCAUGUAAAACCCCAGUAAACGAAUUUCCACGGAGAUUAAGCAAAGUUAGAUUAGAUAGUUUAUUUAUCCCUAUAGGUAUCGAACCAUUGAGGAAGUUAUUGCUGACAUCGAGAUAUAUAAGACUUGUCAUAUGUUCGAGCCAGCCAGACAAAUUUCCCUUUAUAUUUGUAUUAUGUAAAUACAAUAUUUGGCAAUUAUUAGGAGAGACGCAAGAGAGUUCUGACAAAAAUUCGUUUAUAUCUUUAUCAACAUUAUAUCCGGACAAACUUAAAGUGUUUAAUUUGCAAAGGUUUUGGAUUGAAUUUAGUACCGGGCCGACCAAGUUGUUGAAUCCUAAAAACAAGGAAGUAAGUGAAGUCAAUUUGCCUAAUUCAAUAGGAAUUGGACCAUAAAAAUCGUUAUUAUUGAGAUUGAGAUAAGUUAGGCUAGUGAAGUUCCACAGCCAAUCGGGCAAGGUGGAGUUGAAGAAGCUAUGUUGGAGAUCAAGUAUGCUCAAACUUGUUAAGUUAAAAUUGGAAAUGGGGUCAGGAUUGCUCGGAAGAGCGCACCUCACUAAGCAAAGCACUUGCAAUGAAGAUAGCAUGUUCACUGCUUGUAACCAAUCAUUUGCAUUUUGUAGCAUCACAGAGGUCAAGUCAAGGUACUUUAGAGAAGAGAGACCUUUGAUCCACGAUAGUUUGCCAUGAGAGGUAGUACUAUAGUAAUUGUACAUAUAACUAAGGUCGAGAUAACGAAGAGUUGACAAGUUUCCAAGUUCAGGAGGUAUCGCUCCAGUAAAACCCGCAUUAGAGAGGUUAAGAUAUCUCAAGUUCUUAUAUGAAGUGAUGAAAUUAGGGAAACUGGUAUUGAAGUUAUUCAUGCUGAGAUCUAAGUGCUUCAAGUGGCUUAAAGAUAGCAAUGAUGGAUUGACCUCACCACCAAAACCUCUGUAGCUUCUAUUUGAGGAAGUUGCACAAGGGAAUCCGAGUUUGAGCUUCUCAACUCUGCUAGUCUUAUUGUUGCACCAAACUCCCUUCCAUCUGCAGCAGUCAGAGCCUUCCCAAGAAGACAAGCAGUUUAGUGGAUCGAUGACACCGGACUUGAAUGCGAGAAGCGCCUCGCGCUCUACACUGAGGCAUCCGUAGCUCUCCAAGAUUUGGGUUUUUAGAAGGCAAACCACGAAUAAUAUUACAAAAAGUUGCAUGCUUGUAGUUUCAAACCUCAUGCUUCAAGCACCAGAAGCUCUCAAUAGGAAGGUAUAUAAAAUUACUGGCUCAAACUAUGUAUAUAUAGUUGCUGUACAUUAUAGAUUGGUCAAAUUUUGAAUGGAAUCUUAGGGCCAAUUUGGUCCUAUUGCAGGUUGUAGUUUGCUGGAUGAAGUACUAUAUAAGUAGCACUUUUAGAAGAAUUAUUGUAUUAAAAUUCUGUCGAUAGUUUCUAUUUACAGUAGAAUUAGAAAUACCAAGUUACAACUUUUGCUGCUAGCCUCAAAAAUUUGUUUCUGAAUAUAAAGUCUCACAUUAGAUGGGAAUGAAGGUAUGACUAAAAAUAUAAAAGCUCAUGGAUAAUAAUAAUAGUAACUGGGCUUACAUUUUGGACCGAUUGUUUGGAUCCAACGAAUUAUUAACGCUAACGAUCGGAUCUUACAAUAAUAUAAAAAUAAGAUCUAAAAGGAAAAAAAAAAAUCUUCUAAUAUA